rnacentral:lncRNA from 1 species
AAAGAUACUAGUGAUAUCUGAACAUUUUGAAAUCCAAUUUGGAAAAUAGGGCCUUUGACCCCCUUUGAUCAUAUGGUUAUUUUACUUGGGCCUGACCCCUUUCGGAAUCCUCGGAUAGACAAAAACAAAACAAAAUAAAUAGUAAAAUGAACAUUAUGUAACAAAAAUUGUGCCACUUCUCAAAAGUUCUAUCCUUCCUAACUCAUUCCUGCUAGUUUUUUCUUAUAAAAAGCUCAAACUCAAUGGAAGGGAAAAAAGUAAAAUUUCUUUAAAGCUACAACAGAAAAGGCAGGUCGUCAUCAUUCAGCCACAAUUCCUCGCGCUCUCAAACUAAUUAACAUGGUGUUACAUCUCUAGUCAUGUUUGGCUGAAGAACUGGAGGAAAAGGAAAACUAUUCAUCUACUUCUUCUUCUUUGAUUUGCUGGAAAGAGACUGAGUAUAUGCAGUUCCCUGGGUAACAACACAAGGUAAAGAAAGUGACUUCAUUUCAGAUGUCUGGUUUACAGGAAAAAAUGGAUAUGACAGCCAACAAGUAUAAAGACAGUAAUACAGCAUCACAAAACAUACCUGUAGCCAUUCGUCCGUCGAAGCAUCUAUAGACCUAGUUCCAACUUCAACUUUGGGAGCUCUCUUUGAUUUCUGCCCAAAUAUUCAUGAGCAAACAUGAGAAUAUCAGAGUUCCAAGAAAAUAUUGAAUUCUAGGAUUUCAUUAAAAUUGAAAUUUGGAUCAAUUACUAUACAUGUGUAUGGACGGUUGGGUAACUUCUAUGUUGUAGUUAGCAAAUCAAACACGAGAAAUGAGCACAAAGCGGGAGCAUUAACCAGGACCAAAUCAAAGGUGAGAAAUUUAGGGCCUCUUUGUAAUUGGUAUCAGAAAACUAUUAGCUAUCCACGUUUUGUGUUUUCACUUUAUUUUCUGUUUCCAAAUGAUUAGGGCCUCUUUGUAAUUGGCAUCAGAAAACAUGAGCUAUUUUCGUUUUAUGUUUUCACUCUAUUUUCUGUUUCCAAAUAUUUAGGGCCUAGUUUUAUGUUCCCUCUAUUUUCUGUUUCCAAAUGUUUAGGGCCUCUUUGUAAAUUGAUUGGUAUUAGAAAAUGUUAUGUAGUUAGCAAAUCACACAAUGAAGUGAGCACAAAGCUGGAGCAUUAACCAGGACCAAAUUAAAGGGGGGAAAUUUUGGGCCCCUUUGUAAAUGGUAUUAGAAAACAUUAGCUAGUUUUCAAAUGUCUGCAGUGAAAACAUUGAGAGAACAACUGCUGUACAACUAUUGUUUUCAUUGUUUCCUGUACAAAUAUUUGAAAAUAGGGAACAAAUUGAAAACUAUGGGGGCAGUUUAGUUGUGUAAAGAGAAUACAGAAAAAACAAAGUUUUCAUAAAUCAAACACAUUACGUAAAAAAAUUAGCAAAUUCUAAAUGCAAAGGUGGUUCAGUAAUAGCGCAUUAUCUGAAAAGAUAUAGAUUAUAGUACCUUAGAUAGGUUUUGUACUUGACCUUGAAUCCAUAGCCCCAAGAGGACAAGGAGGGAAGCUCCAAGAGUAACAAGAAAAACAGAUUCGAUGCUAAGAAACCCACCCGAUUCAACAACUUCAAUAGUGCCAUUAAAGAAGGUGCUUUGGUAUGGAUGCUCGUCUAUCUCGUAGAUAAUAGUGCCAACAAGAUCAAAACUUCCAGGCUGUAUACGGAAAAUUCAUUUUGCGCAAUGAGAUCAAAAGUAUAUAAGUACUCUCUUAUGUUUCACUCAUUCAAAAACUAAAAGAAGCUGUGUACAAAGUGAUGGUGAUACCUGCAAGAAUUUACUGACUGCAAAUAUGUAUGGGAAAGUAGCUUGGGCUGAGGCUGGUACAGAACCAUUGUUGAAAACCUGCAAUAAAAGAAAAGUUGCAUUUAUAUUUUAUACUAAGUGUCGAAUGUCAUCUGCUGAAUGAGAUUAGGUUAUUCUAAAACCUAGUCUAUCAAGAAAACAAAAAAAACUUCAAAUUCAAGACUUUAUACACAAACUCUUUCUAGCAGGAUUUGAAAUUCCCUUUUCGUAUAAAUGGCUUUCAUCAAUUUGAUCAUUAGAAGUUUAGUAUUGUUUAAAAGGUAACAAGCAUAAAUAACCAUUUAAAUAAUAUGAGAAAAAUAAUUUUUUACACAAAUAAAUAGCCAAGUUUAAUUCGGGAUUUUCAGUAACCAAUUUCUACCUGAGCAGUAAGAUUUUGAACAUACAGACGAUGAUCGACAGGAAGGUGAAUACUGGCCUUGAUCGCAACAACAUUCAAGCCAGACUCGCCUGUUUUCAGCCCAAAAAAAACAAAAUCAGCUAAACAAGUGAAAGAGCCCCUGAUUUUACUCUUGAAUCCCACACUCCUCAAACACCAGUAAGAAAAUAAUGUAAACAAAGAAAGGAAUGAAAUAUGAAUCCUAAACAAUCACAGCAAAAAUUUUAAAAAACUUAAAAGAGUGAAACUACAACACUUAUCCAAUCUGAUUGAAUUACCAUCAUUUUUAACACCAACUAGCAGCUCGGUGUCUUCUCCAGCUGUAACCACUGCAUCAUAUUCACAUAAACAAACAAUUUACCAUCAUUUUUAACACCAACUAGCAGCUCGGUGUCUUCUCCAGCUGUAACCACUGCAUCAUAUUCACAUAAACAAACAAAAUCAACCCAUUAUCCAACACAGAAAACAAAAUUAAAACACAUUCUGUAAAACAAACAGAAGAUCCUUACAUUUUGCAAUAUUUUUAGGAAACACACUUAUAGUAUCAAUCCCCGGAGCAGCAGAAAAGGUUCCAACUCCAUCAAAGUCUUGAGCAUCAUCACCAACAAUGCCAAUAUCACUUUCAGUAGUCUCCACAGCUUCACUUGAUUCUGACUUACACCUAACAACUACCAAAUAGCAAGAACCACAUUUCAAUAAUCAUCAUGCACAUAGCCAUAAAAACAUAAUUAUCAGUUACUUCCAAGAUCCAAUAGGGCAAAUAAAAAAUAACACAUAAUUCAAAAACGUAAUCACGUUUCCAUCUAAAAAUGCAGAAUUAACAUCUACAUCAACAUGAAAUUAAGAUUAAACAAAAACCAAUUUUUGAUAAAAUUAUAAAUUACAAAUCAGAUCAAAAAAGCUUUAAAAGCAUGCAAAGUUGAAACAAUUGUGUCGCCGGAAAAGUAAUCGUAACAUGCAGGGAAUGAAGCAUGGAAACGGAUCUAGAUCUAGAAUGCGGAGAAGCAAACCUUGGAGGAAAGGAGAAGCGAUGAGGAGAAGAGCGAGAGAGAAAAUCCAAACGGUGUUGAAGGAGGCCAUGGUGGUGUGUUGCGAUUUUCCAAAUGAAACGUGAGUGAACUUUCAACGCUGAAAUAAACCAGAUUUGUAUUGGGGUGGUUGUUCGUGUUAGAAACGACGUCGUUUUAAUUCGUGUGUAAGUAAUGCUGUAUUUUGGAUCCUCAUUUGCUUAGUGUAUGGUUUGUCCAUUUUUCAUUGGUCGUUUUUACGUGGUGCGUUGUAAGAUGACUCAUUUAUCCUACUCAUCGUAAAAUCAAAUUGUUACUACAUGUUAAUUGAAUUUGUUUAUUAAUUAAAUUUAAACUAACUAUCACUUUACUAUCUAUGACAUUUCCAUUAAGAUUAUAAGACUAUAUAUAUUUUGUAAAAACAAUUAAUGACUUUUUAAUUUUUUAUUUAGGGACCUAAUUAUAAAUUAAUAUACACAGUGAUUAAAAAUUUGUAUUUUAAAAUUUAUUGAUGUUUUUAAAAGUCACUAAACGGAUUGACAUCUUUUAAGAAAUUAAAUUUAUAAAUAAAACAAUUAGUUGAAAAAUAAUUAAUUUUUAAGUUUAAAUAUUUUUUCUAUGUUUUUGCUUUUUUUUUCUCUAUAUUUUUUUUAAGUGAAUCAAGUCUUUAAAUAUUAAAUUUUAUUUGGUUUGAAUUAUUGAAGUUAAAAUUUACGGAAAAUUCCACCAAUUUCUUGUUGAUUUUAAUUUUAAGAACUAAAAUCAAAAUGAUUUAACAUUCAGGAAUUAUUUUCAGCAAACAAAAAAUACAAGGACGAAAAUAAAAAACACGCUAACUUACAUAGAUAAAAGACUAUUUAAAUCUAAUUUUUAGUUUGAGUUAGUGUGUUUUUAAUGUUUUAUAUUUUUAAAAAAUAAGUCACUUGAUUCAUGAGCUUGUUUGUUUUAGAUUUAAAAAAUAAUUAUUUUUAAUUUUUAAAAUAAUUUUUAUAAAUUUUAAUAUUAAAGGUUUUUAAAUUUGUUUUUUAUAAAUUAAAAUAUAGUUAAAAUUACAAUUUUUUCAAAAAUAUAUAUUUUAAAUAAUUUUUAUGAAAAUUUAUUUAAAAUAGUUUCAAAUUUAAAUGAUUUUGGGAAAUUUUGUUAUUAAAAAAGUUUAUAAAAAUGAUAAAUUAUUUAAAAUAAUAUUUUAAAAAUAAUUAGUUAAAUCAAUUUUUUAUUUGAUAUUUUUUAAAUUCUUCGGAAUUUUUUUUAAUUAAAAAUUAUUUUGAAAAAAGCCGAAUAAAUUGACCGGACGUGGGUUCAAAUAAAUUUGGUAAAUUCAAGUGAAUUGCGGAUUCAUUAAUUUUCAAUUUUUAUAUUUUAAAAUGAUUCUUUUAAUAAAGUCUCAAAUUAUAAGACGUUUUGCAUAUUUUAUGUAUAUUAAUAAACAUAAUUAUUGUUGUAUGGGAAAGACAAAUUACGCAUUAUUUUACAAUAUUAUUCUUUAUUUAUUAUAGAUAAAAGAUAAAUUUAAAGAAUUGUAAUAAAAAAUAGUAAUAAAUGAUAGAGGAUAUGUUGGGGAAAAAAGUCAUUAAUGUCGCAUUGAAAUUGUAAAGUGAUUUAUAAUUUGGGACAAAUAUUUUUAACAAAUUAACUUAUAAUUUGGGACAUAGUGAGUGUUUGUAAAUCAUUUUCGUAAAUACUUAUAUCCAUCCCGUCAGAUAGACCAUUUGCAUGUUCAAAAUAUGUCUAAUAAAUCUUUUGAUAAUGUUAUAAUUUAUUUUUAAGUCAGACUAAAACCACAUAAACUACCAAAUUAAACAAUCUUAUAAAUUAUCGAAAAGGUUCUUCUAAAAUUCUUUAAGGGUUUGUUUUAGAGGGGAAAUAAGGGGAAGACUUCGGGAAGAAAAAAAAUAAUUGAGGAAAGAAUUUGAGAAUUUUGGUUUGGAGGAUUUGUAUUUAUUCAUAACACCUAAAACUUCUAAUUUCAAAAAUUCAAAAUGUGUGUUAAAGGAUGGUUUUGAAGAGUUUUUUAGGAUUUACAUAAAUAAAUUUUAUGUUGUUAUAGUAUUUUGAAAAUUAAAGUAGCAUAUUCAAUUCAAACAUGUCCGACUAAUUCUGUCGAAUCCGGAAUGUGAGGAUGGUCGUAUCGACAGUACUCGAAAUAUAUAUUGAUGCCUUUGAUAAUGCAAAGUUAAUGUGAUAGCCAUGUUGAUGUCAUGUUCAUGAAUACCUUAUAUAAGGUUAGGAAUAACUAUUUAUUUUGGGAUUUCUGCCUUGUAAUGUAAUUGAUAUACUGUGAUUUGAGAUUGUGUAGAUUAUGUGUUGGGGAAAUAGGGUGUUACAAUUUAGUGGUAUCUGAGCCUAGUUGGCCCGACCGGUCAGGUUUUUGUAAUGUUGUUUACUCCCUAGUACACGACAUGUGUGUGAAACACUGCCGAUGCUCGUUUAUUUUUCUUACCCCUUGUUUGCAGGAGCAGAAUUGAAACAAGUGGAGGGAAGCUUCUGCUUCUUUUAGAUGUUUCAAGUGUGGAGAGUUGGUUCAUCAUGCCGCUGUUUAUAAGAGCGUCGAUUGUUGGAUAAGUCAAUGUUGCUUUCUAAGUUUGUUGAAAAUGAAGAUUUGAAGUUCAUAUCAACUGUUUCGGUAAGUCGUUAUCAUUUCUAGAGUUUGAUGCAAGUGACGAGUUGUUUGUGUCUACCGGGCAAGUAGAUGAAUUCGUGAAGGAUGAGGCGGAAGUGUUUAAGAUAUUAGCUUCUAUGAAGAUUGAGAGAAAAGUUACGAUCAGUGAGUUAUCAGUGGUGUGUGAUUUUCCUGAAGUGUUUCCAAACGAUAUUGGUGAUUUACCGUCGGAGCACGAGGUUGAGUUUUUCAUAGACUUAGUACCUGAUACUAGUCAUGUGCCGAUGGUGUCAUAUAGAAUGUAUGUUUCAGAGUUGAGUGAACUAAAGAAAUAAUUGGAAGAGCUACUUGAGAGGAAGGUUGUCCGACUGAGUAUUUCGUUGUGGGGUGUGUCGGUGUUGCUUAUCAAGAAGAAAGAUGGUAGCAUGAGAUUGUGUGUUAACUAUGGACAAUUGGAUAAGGUGACUAUUAAGAACAAGUGUCCACUUCCGAGGAUUGGUGAUUUGAUGGACCAUUUAAUUGAAGCGUAACUUGGGAGAUAGAGAGCUAGUUGAGAGAGUCGUAUCUGACUCUGUUUCCUUCAGGUAAUUUUCGAGGGAGAAAAUUCUAUAAGUGGGGGAGAGUUGUAAAACCCCAUAUUCGAUUAAAUUAUUUAUAUUUUUUAUUUAAUUAUUUAGUUUUUGGUGUGCCUUUAAAAAAAAUUAUAUGAUUAUAUGUUAUUGGUGUGUAAGGCAGUGGUAAGGUGUGGAGAGAAUGUAGUGACUUGGUAGAAUAAAUUAGAAAAUAUUUAUAAUAAUUAGUGUCGCGGCUAGAAAAAUGACACAAUCGCCACCAUCUUUUAUUCGUUCCUAAGGAAUAGGAAAAUAAUGAGAAAACCUAUAAACUGAGGGUGAGAUGUUGGGUUCGGGAGUCACUUAACUAAGGGGAAGGUAUUAGGCACCUGUUACCUCUAUUAUAUUAAAUGGGAUCCUCCUUCAAUUCUAGGGUUAGUGUGUUUACAGAUGUUUGUUUGAUUAUCGAUUAAUUGUUAAUUAUUUAUCAUAUUUACGAAAAAGAUUUUAUUUAAACAGAUGGAAGAUCCAAAAAGAUUUUUUAUUGCCGUACUUGCUAGAGUUUACAACUAUAUGCCUACGUACCUUCGCAUUAGGUGAGGGAUCAGAGUAUCGUAGUUCAUGUAGAAAAAAGUUGUUUGUUAAUUGUUUUUAUCCCUCAGAAAUUCUCACGCAUCCGAGGCGAAGAAGUGAUUGAUUUUUAAAACGCCUCAAUACAGGAGGAUAGAGGACUUAUAUUUUGAAGUGUGUUGCAUUGAUUUUAUCCCUUAGUUGUUGACAAAAAUAUAAUAUUUAAUUUAUUUAUGAAAAUAAAUUAGUGAUGAUAUUUAGAUAUAAGACAUAACUCUUUAUCCCAAAUUUAUCCCCGAUUUUAUCCCUUGAAAAUCCCUUUGAAUUUUAUCUCAUGUUUCAUCCCAUGUGUUUUAUCCCAUUUGGUUAUCAUACAUUCUUAUUAUAAAAAUGUAAUUUAAUUUGAUUAAGAAAAUAAAUUAAAUAACUGCAAUAUAAUGUAUCCAUUCAUCCCAUUUUCUAUCCCUGGUUUUUAUCCCCUAAAACCCUAGAAAUUAUCCCUGAUUUUAGCCCAUGUUUAUUGAUUUAACUAACCCUAAUUUUUAAAUCCUUAAUUAAUUAAAUAUGACUAUUAUAAAUAAUUGAUUGUAAUAAUCCGAUUUAAAUGACCAAACCCCAAAUAAAUAAAUUAACUUAUGACAUAAAUUAAAUCAUGAAUUUAGAAAUUUGAAAAACCCUAACUAUUAAUUUAAAUGAAUUAAUCCAAAAUGUUAAAUCAAUAAAUUCCCAAGUUAAUAGUUAAUUAAGUAAUUAAUUAACUAAUUAAAAAUUUCAAACAAAGAGGUGUAUUCUCUAAGUGAAUAAGCAAAUGGGUUGAAGUUAGGGGUGUAGAUAGUAAAGGAUCAAGCCCAUUAAUAUCUGAAUCCCAAUGCUGGCCAAAAAGGUCCAUUGGAGAGAGUCAGCGGUUGACUCUCAUCCAGAAGCGUUGGAUCAAUCCAGGUAAUCAAGAGGGACAAUUCAGAUUGUAAGUCAAAAUGAAGAUCAUGGUGUACGCGCGUGUACCAAAAUAAGUCAACGUCGACAAUUCUAGUGGCUCGCAGUGAGCCACAUGGACGCGACAUGGCAAGCGAGGGAGGAGGAAUAAAAGCGAUAUUUCUUCAGAAAUGAAAACAAUUGCAUUUCUUCGCUCUCUCUAUCUAAACUCUCUCUCUCUCUCUCCCAGACCCUCUAUCUCUCUCUCUAAACUUAUCCCUUCUCUCUUUUCCUCUCCAUUUGGUCACCCUUCUCCACCUCCCACUAUCCUCCAAACCACCACCAAACCCCUACCGGACCACCGUAUUCAUCAUGAACAUUAACCCAAAAAUAUGAACCUGGCCCCGAAACCACCACCCCCACCCCCAAACCACCAUGUACUCCAUGUUUACGGUUGAAGCUCAACUGAAACCUUCAACCGGUGUUCAUUUGGGUGAUGAACACCAACCCAUAAACUCUUGAACCCAGAACCCUAACCCUAAACCUACGAACCCUAACCCCCAAAUCCUUUACAUAGAUGAACCCUAACCCCACUAUGAUGAACAAUAACCCUAAAAAAGAUGAAUCUUCAUCUUCUUCCUUCGUCUCGAACCUCAACCUAACCCAGAUCAAACCCUAACCUAUCCAGAAUCAUCUCAAACCCCCGUUAAGCAACAAAUUACAAAUCCUUUGACCUUUAAUCACACAUCAAACAACAAAUUCAACCAAAAAUAUCACCAAUCAUAAUCAAUUUUCCCAAACCCUUAAUCCCCAAAUUCAAACCCCAAUCAUCAUACAAUCAACAAUAUCAAACAUUCAACAAUAUAAUCUAGGAAUCUAAGUUAUACCAACCUACAAAAUGUUUUAUUCCGGUUAAGAGGUAAAUUUUGAGUCUUGUUUUUCCCUCUUUUGAUUUAGGUUACCUCCUCUUCUCGUUAACUUCUUCUUUUUGUUUCUUUGAUGCGAGGUCCUAUGGAAGUUAAACUCAGAUGCUUUGGCUUUCGGUGUAAAACCCUAAGUAUCAAGAAGAUUGGAGCUUUGGUGAGGUUUUUGGUUAUAGCAACAUCAAAUUCAGAGCCCCUGUUUCGAUUCUAGUUUAGCAUUUUUAUAAAUUAUUUUUAGGUUUAAGGUUUUAAUUAGAUUUGUAGUUUUAGGAAGUUUAGAGUUAAUUGAAGAUUUGAUGUAAUUUUGAUUGAUUAUGUAUUAGAAAUAGAAGUUAGGGUUUUAGAAUUUUUUGAUGUACUUGGUCCGAAAUCGAUUGUAUAUUAUCAUUUGGUGAAAUUGGAAAUAUUUGAUUCACUGUAUUUGAUUCAUUUCUAUUUUUUUUUGUGCGUGAGAACUAGAGUUUCUGAUUGGGGAAGAAGAUGGACCUAGGUCACACUUGACCCAGUUCAGGGGAUGGGUUCUGGGUUUGACCUAGUUAGUUCUUGGGUCAUUCUCUUGACUUGAUUAGUCUUAGGGUCUGGAUUGGGCCUAACCCAAUUCCAAUUGAAACUUAAAACCAGAUAAUAAUAAAAGACCAAAAUUAAAUAAAUAAUAAUUGAAUUUUGAAUAACUUAAUUAACCAUCUAACUUAAAUUAACCAUAGAUCAGAAAUAAUUAAUUAAAAUAAAUAACUAUAUUAACCUAAAUUAACCUAUUAGUCUGAAAUAACAAAAAAAAGUCAAAGUGAAUUAUUAAUAUCGAUCUAAAGUUCUAAUUAAACGAAAACAUUCUAUUAAUCCAAUACUUGAUAUAGAAAUUGAAUAAUUUCAGUAGAAAACCUAAUCGACCCAAGGACCAACCCUAAACACUGAAUUAAAAGCCUGAAUAAUCUUGACCAAAAUAGCCCUCUUAACCUGAUUAAUCAUCUGGACAAUUAAAAAGGUAUCCUUUGACUUUUCAGGUUACUGGGAGUUAAGUGGCUCCUGCUUUGGGUAUGUUUAGUUUCUGUUAGAAAAAGGUGGUAAAUAUUUGGGGUACGACAGCUUCCCCUAUUUAAUCAACUUUAACCCGAGAUGAUGAUGACAAUGAGCCUUCAUCUUCUCAUGGUGGAGAUGGUUAAAUAUAGAGAGAAGCCCUAAUUUUGACCAUGAAGUUGGUAGACCCUAGGAAUGAGCAAGGACUGGACAAUCCCAGACACUUUGUUGGCUCCCAAGAUAACUUAUGGUGGGAUCAUUGAUGAUAAAACCCUAAUGAAACCUCGUGGUAAAACCCCUGAUAAACUCUGGUGAAAACCCCUUCGAUAAAAUUCUGGUAGACCUUUUGUUACAAGGUAAAGUCUUUGGUUUAAAGAAUGUUUGCGUAACAUAUCAAUGUGUGAUGGUGACUCUCUUUCAUGAUAUGAUUCAUAAAGAGAUUGAAGUCUACGUUGACGAUAUGAUUGCAAAAUCCCAAACCGAAGAGGAACAUAUGGUUAAUAUGGAAAAACUUUUUGCACGACUAAGGAAGUUCAGAUUGAGGUUAAACCCCAGCAAAUGCACUUUUGGUGUAAGAGCCGAUAAAUUGCUAGGAUUUAUUGUCAAUCAGCAAGAAAUUAAAGUCAAUCCUGAAAAAGUCAAAGCCAUACAAGCUAUGCUCGCACCAAGAACUGAAAAGGAGGUCCGUGGAUUCCUAGGGAGAUUGAACUACAUCGCCAAAUUUAUAUCUCACUGCACGGCCACAUACGAGCCAAUGAUCAAGCUUCUCCAUAAAGAUCAGGCAAUUAUGUGGAACGACAAUUGCCAAAAGGAAUUUGAGAAGAUUAAAGAAUACUUGCAAGAGCCCCCGAUCUUGAUGCAUGUUGUUCCAGGCAGACCUCUUAUCAUGUAUCUGACAGUUCUCAAAGGGUUAAUGGGAUGUGUUCUUGGUUAGCACGAUCAAACCGGAGGAAACAUGUUAUCUACUACUUAAGCAAGAAGUUUACCGACUGUGAGAGUAGGUAUUUAAUGCUUGAGGAGACAUGUUGCCCACUCGCUUGGGCUGCUAAACGUUUAAGGCAAUAUAUGUUGACGCAUACAACUCUUUUGAUCUCCAAGAUAGAUCUUGUCAAGUAUAUCUUUGAAAAGCCUGCUCUCACAGGGAGAGUCUCCCUUUGGCAGAUGUCCCUGACUUAGUAUGACAUCCAACAUGUCACACAAAAAGUUGUCAAAGGAAGUGUCUUAUUCGACUAUCUUUCCCAUCAACCUUUGGAAGAUUAUCAUUCAAUGCGCUUUGACUUCCCCAACGAGGAUAUUAUGUUUAUGAUGGAUUUCCACAUUCUCGACCCUGAGGAAGGACCCGAACCAGGAUCAUGAUGGAUGCUCGUGUUUGAUGGUGCUUCCAAUGCUCAAGGCAAUAGAAUUGGGACAGUUAUCACAUCCCUAACUGGUUUUCAUCUACCAUUCACUACAAGGUGGUGUUUCAGUUGCAAUAACAACAUGGCGGAGUAUGAGGCGUGCAUCUUUGAUAUUGAAGCACCUAUUGAUCUAAGGAUCAAGAUCCUCGAAGUUUAUAGAGACUCGGUCUUGGUAAUCAUCCAUGUUAAAGGAGAUUGGGAGCCUCAUGAUCACAAGUUGAUCCCAUCCAAAGAGCAUGUCUUGAAGCUAGUCCCAUAUUUUCACUACGCCAAAUAAGGGAAAAGAGGGCGCUUUUUUUGGCCUAUAACAGCGCUUUAAAACGCCCUCUAAUCUGGCGCUGGCAUAGGUAAAGACAGCGCUUUUUUUCCUGGUGAAAGCGCUCUCUAAAGUGGCUCUUUAAGCCCUUUAAGGGCCACUUUAGAGGGCGCUUUUUAAAGAAAGCGCGCCUCUAAAGUGGAAACUUUUAAGGGUUUAGAGGCGCUUUUACCUGGAAAGCGCCCCUAAGAGUGGAACUUUUAAGGGUUUAGAGGGCGCUUUUACUGGAAAGCGCCCUCUAAAGUGGAAAUUUAAGGGUUUAGAGGCGCUUAUUUGGAAAGCGCCUCUAAAGUGGGUGGUUAUUUAAUAUUUUUUUAAAAGCGCUAUAUUUUUAUUUAUUUAGACAACCUGUAUAUUGAAGCAGUACACCUAAAACUGAUAAUUGAAGCCCUUUUUCACACAUUGCAUUCAACAAGCCUUAUAUACAACAAUCCAUACAUAUACAACAAUCCACAGAUAUAUAAUCGUUUAACUUCUAAAGAUUCUAAAUAACAACCAAUUCAUAACUUAAAAGAAAUAAACUAAGUAGCAAAGCAUCUCUGAGAUGUAUGUUUUUGGCUAGCGCAGUCUUCUUAGCAACAACCUCUUUUGUUCAAUAUCAAUAGCAUGAACUAAAAUAUCAAAAUUAGUUAGGUGAAGUAUAGAUAAGAAUUAACAUUUUCUAUGCAUAAAUAUCAUAUAAUUAUGUUUAUACUUUUUUUAUGCAACUGACUCGAUUUGCUGCGUAAUCCCCUUAUAUUUUUGGUCCCUUAUCUUUUGAAGAUAGAAUUGAUAUUUGUUAAAUGGACAUGUUCCAUUGUCGUAGAGGAUACUUCAAAUAUCCAGCAUCGUCAUCUACGCGAAUGAGGCUUGACGACAAUGGAACAUCUCCAUCUAAACAAAUAUCAAUUGAUACUUUCAAUCCCUUCCCUGCACGAAUGAUUGACUUCAUAAUAGCCAUUUACCUGUAAUAAAGAAAACAAUUAAAUCAGAUGACAAAUAUAAAAACAAUUAAAAUCAUAAAAGCCUUUUACCUGUAAUAAAGAAACAAUUAAAACAUUUGACCUGUACCUUUUCACUAAGUUCUCUUUCUUUCUUGGUUGGAAUAUUUCUACAUGUCUCUUAACAACACGGACAGUUGGAUUGAUCCAAAUACCCUCAUUAUGAUCAUUUCUAAUAUAGAAUCAUUUGAUAUAAUAUUCUCAUCUGAUCAUUUCUGGUAACGAUUCAAUCUCAACAUCAAUAUCACCUUGAUCUCCAGUGUUUUCAUCAAUUGUUUGGAAAAAAGAACUAUAGACCAUUUCGUACUUUUCGGAUCAUUGACAUGGAACACUUGUCUAGCUUGAGAGGCUAGAAUAAAAGACUCAUCUUUGUAUCCCACCCUAUUAAGAUCCACUUGCAAAAUCCUGACUUAUCCAUUCGAAUGUCGUUGUAUUUCAACCCACUUGCAACCAAAUAUAGGAACUGAAACUUCUCAUAAUCAACACCCAAAUGCGCUCGAUAACACCAAAAUACGAAGAUUUGCAAAUUUGGGGUUUAAGUCCUUCACACUUGAUAUGUGCAUGCUUCAGCUACACAGUGACUGACACCACUAUUCUGCAUAGUACUUUUAUCAUCUUGUCUUUGGUAUAAAAUGUGUAUCCAUUAAUCGCGUAUGCGCUAUAAGAAAACAUGGGAAACUUGGACCAUAUGCUAAGCAUCUCAACUUUCUGUAUUGAAGCGGGAUCUGAAUAUACUUGAAUAAAUAUGAUCCUUAAACAAGGUAUAAAACAUCGAUUGUGCUCUCGUACUAUCCAAUUUUCAUUUCUAUUGGGAUUUAAACCUCGGAGAACAUCCUUGUGAUUUCAACAUACGACUCAACCUCAUUCUCAUUGUGCAGAACAUACAAAUGCACUUGAUCCCGUUCGACCCUUGAUACUGCCACGAUUUUAUUUCCAAUUAGAUUUUUCCUUCUUUCUUUCGACAAGUUGAGACUUGGGAGUCCGAUUGACUGAACAUUAGACAAAUAUUCAGUACAAACACAUCGCUUCUUCAACAAUGUACUUUCAACCAUACAACCUUCUGGUCGACUUCGGUUCUUCACGUACCCUUUUAAUAUUUAUCAUAACGUUCAACAGGUACAUCCAUCUCAUAUAAGCUGGUCCACACAAUUGUGUCUCUUCACAAGAUGAACAAACUAGAUGUACCAUUAUGUCAAAAAAUGAUGGAGGAAAAACAUUUCAAGCUCACACAAGUAAUAACGAUUUCUUUUGCAACAUUGGUAAGAUCGUAGGAUCGAUCACCUUACUGCAAAUUGACUUGAAGAAAGAACACAACUUAGUAUAGAGCUUCUUACUUUUUCUGGAAGAUAGAACGUAUACCUAUUGGGAGAAAAUGUUCCAUUAUAACAUGGCAAUCAUGGGUCUUUAAACUCUUUAACUUGAGGUCUUUCAUAGACACAAGUCUUCUAAUAUCUGAAGGUACCCUUCUGGAACUUUAACUUCACUUAGAAACUUACACAAUGUUUUUUUCUCCUUUCUAGAUAGAGUAUAAGCAGAAGGCGGUAGAUAUGUUCGUUUUCCUUUCUUCAAGGGCCUAAUUCAGUUCUUAUUCCCAUCGCUAUCAAGUCCUUUCUUGCCUUAAGGUCACCUUAGACUUUCUUGUAUAUUGAGUAACGUGCAAUAACACUUUCAAAUACAUUUCUUUCAAUAUGCAUAACAUCAAGAAAAUGUCUCACAUACAAGGACUUCCAAUACGGCAAUUCAAAAAAAUUGACCUCUUCUUCCACCCACUUGACAAGUGUGGGGCAAAAGGCUUGCAAAUCGAGUACCAAUCUUUCACCUUUUCAAAAUUUGAUCACCCGUCAAUAUAGGUGGAGCUCUGCCUUGUUCUGUCUCUCCAUUGAACGCCUUUCUCCAUCCACGGUAGUGAUGAUUUGAAUUUAAAAAUCUCCGAUGACCGAGAAAGACAUUCUUCUGACCAAACUCCAAGCGCUUCAAUCUGUUUAUCUUCACAAUAGGACACGCACAUUGACCUUUUAUGCUAUACCUGAUAGAUUUCCGUAUGCUGGAAAAUCAUUAAUUGUGCAAACAACAUCGCCCUCAAGUUGAAACUUUCUUUCCUAUAUCCAUCAUAAACCUCCACACCGGUCUCCCACAAAAUCUUUAAAUCUUCGAUAGGGCUUCAAGUACACGUCUAUGUCAUUCCCUGGUUGUUUAGGUCCAGAAAUCAACAUAGACAACAUCAUGUACUUACGCUUCAUACAUAGCCAUGAGGUAGGUUAAAUCAUAAUAAUACAGGCCAUGUACUGUGUGAGAUACUCUGAUACCGUGUGGGUUCAUUCCAUCAGUAGAUAAUGCCAAGCGAAGGUUUCUUGAUUCUUCUCCAAAUUCAGGAUAAUCAUUAUCAAUUUUCAACCACUGUGGUGAAUCUGCCGAUGUCGAUACUUUCCAUCUAUAAUUCUUUCAUCUGCAUGCCAGGUCAAGUGUCUUGAAUAGGUUUCACUACGAAACAUGCGUCUAAAUCUCGAAUAACAGGAAAUACACAAACUUUUGCUGGAGACAACUUGUUCUUAUAUCGCGAGACACCGCAUUUAGGACACUCAUUUACGAUGCAUACUCAUUUCGAAACAAAACGCAAUCGUUUGGACAUGCAUGUAUCUUAUCAUAGCUCAUGUCAAUAGAGCACAACAUCUUUUUGUCUCAUAUGUUCGAUUGGGAAGAACAUUAUCCUCAGGAAGCAUAUCUUCAAAAGGGCUAAUAACUCUGUGAAACUUUUAUCGACAUCCAUUCCGCUUUAAGUUGUACAACUUUAAUACCGCAGACAAUCUGUGAAUUUAGUGGCAAUCAUCAUACAAGGUUUCUCUGCAUCACUUACAACCUCUCAAAAUUCGGGACAAUCCUUAAGAUCUCCUUCAAGUGCUUCUGCAAUCUCUUCAACUCGAUCACAUCGUAUGUAUCUACGCCACUAUAGUUUGAGGCAUAGGUCGUACUAUCCCCCGUUAAACAUUCUCGUUACUUUUCUCACCAUGCAAUUCCAAGAUUGUAUAACUCGAUCAAUUCCAUGCCUCAUUAGAUGCGAUGUCACUGAACUGCGUUAACCCGUUUCCCAUAACAAACACCCAAGCAAGGACUAUCAUCUACUGAGGUCUUCGGCGUGCGCAACGGCAAACUUAACGAAUUCUGAUACCCCAUUCUCAUAUUCCCUCGACAAUCGAUGGAAGACAUCCAUGUAUUAUCCAUUACUAAUUAUAAUAAACAAAAACAAUUUCAGAAGAGAAAUCAAAGGUUUCUAAUGUCUCUAUAAUGCAACAUACCGAACCCUAACAACAGUCUUUGAAUGUGAUUCAUAGCGAAUAUCAAAUUCAGCAAUUUAAAACCAACCGUCAAUUGCCUAAUAACCAAACUAUUUAAAUGACUAUGAAUAUUGAAACUUUACAGGGUUAACCAACAAAUUUGAUUCAUAGCGAUAUCAAAUUCCGCAAUUUAAAAACCAACCGUCAAUUGCCUAAUAAACCCAAACUAUUUAAAUGACUAUGAAUAUUGAAACUUCACAGGGUUAACCAACAAAUGAGUCAAUAAUAAUCAUAAUUCAUUUUUUUCUUCAUCAUUAAUUUUGAUGUCGAAACAAAACGUAGCAUAGACAACAAUAACAUAAACUGAAAUGGGGCAAAGCUAAAACAAGCAAUAGUGGCAAGUAUAAUGUAUGCUAGAAAUAAUACACUCAUAAGCUGCAUAGUGUACCUUUGAUUGGUAGAAGGAGGAAACGUCGUAGAUCUAACAGAGGUGGAAGGAGAACGCCUUAGAAGUAGCGAAAAUCGUAGUAGUGAGAACCCUAACGUGAAAAAGAACGAAAAUACAGAGAGUGAAAUAACAAAUGCGCAGUAUGUUAUUUUAAUGUUUACUAAAGAGGACCUUAGAGGGGCUUGUGGAAAAAAGCGCCUCUAAAGGGGGCCUAGAGGCGCUUAUGAAAGCGUCUCUAAGCUUUCCAAAAGCGCUUUAUAAACUGGAAAUGCACAUGGACUUAUAGAGCGCUUUUUAAAAGCGCCCUCUAAGGGUAACCUUAGAGGGCGCUUUCUAAAAAGCCCCUGUAUUGUUGUCCCUCUAUCUCCUCCUUAUUUUUUCGCUUCACCUUAAGGGCACUUUAUUACAAAAGCGCCCUCUAAAAGUGGGCGGCUGUCUAUUCCAGUUGUUCGCUCCUUAUUUUUUCGCUUCACUUUAGAGUGCGCUUUUGUAAUAAAGCGCCCUCUAAGGUGCGCUGUCUAUUCCAGUUUUUGGCGUAGUGUUUGAUGAGAUUACAUUCCACCAUAUUCCUCGAGAGAAGAAUCAGUUGGUUGGUGCCUUAGCAACUCUGUCAUCUGUGUUUAAGGUUAAGUGGAAAAAUGAAGCACCAUUUAUCCGCAUUGACUACUUGGAUAAACCAGCAUAAUGUUUAGUAGCCGAAGAAGAAUAUGAUGGACAUCCCUGGUUUUAUGAUAUCAAGAGGUAUCCGGAUAAACAAGAAUGUCCAGAGAAUGUACCCAUCAUGGACAAAAAGUAUCUUCGAAGGCUCUCGACUAAGUUCUUAUUAAGUUGAGAGGUGCUUUACAAAAAAAUUAUGACUCGGUCAUGCUCAGAUGCAUGGAUAGACACGAAGCAGACUGAAUCAUAAUUGAAAUUCAUGAAGGCUCCUUUGGGAUGCAUGUCAGUAGGCAUACAAUUGUAAAAAAUAUCCUGACGGUUGGCUAUUACUGGAUGACCAUGGAGGUUGAUUGCUACCGCCACGUACAAAUAUGUCACAAAUGCCAAAUUUAUGUCGACAAGAUACACGUGCCACUAAUUCCACUAAAUGUCUUGACAUCACCUUGGCCUUUCGUCAUGUGGGGAAUUAACGUGAUUGGGUACAUCGAGCCAACUGCCUCAAACAUACACUAUUUCAUUUUGGUAGACAUUGCAUAUUUCACCAAAUAGGUGGAAGUAGUCUCAUAUGCAAAUGUCACCAAGCAAGUGGUGGCUCAUUUCUUGAAGAAAGAGAUCAUAUGUCGUUAUAGGGUCCUGAAUAAAAUCAUUAUUAAUAAUGGUUCCAACCUCAAUAACAAGAUGAUGAAAGAGCUAUGCAAAAACUUCAAGAUCGAGCAUCAUAAUUCAUCAUCGUACCGUUCGAAGAUGAAUGGUGAUGUUGAGGCAGCCAAUAAGAAUAUCAAGAAGAUUGUCCAAAAAAUGGUGGAAACCUACAAAGGUUGGCAUGAGAUGCUCCUGUCGCAUCACGCGAAAAACCGGCGGGAAAAGAAAGAACAACAGAGCCGCCACCGUGCGUUAUUUAUCCCAAAAGAGGGAAAGGAAACGCUCAGAGUAAACCUGGGAAAGAACAUGGUCUCGCGACCAAAGAGAAUGGGUUCGGGAGUCGGUUAUGCGAAGGGAAGGUAUUAGCACCCCUACGCAUCCGUAGUACUCUACGGGAUCCACGCACAAAAGGAAGGAAUAUUGGUUGCUAAACACUGCUCAAACUCACACACACUGGCUGAAGGAGACAAAAGAGACUGACUGAAACUGACUCGGCAGGAUAUCGCAUCCUGGGCCUACUUAGUCUAUCAGGCAUAGACAUCAGAGUCGAAGUAGUUCGGACUGGGGAAACGACACAUGCUCGCUAGGAUNNNNNNNNNNNNNNNNNNNNNNNNNNNNNNNNNNNNNNNNNNNNNNNNNNNNNNNNNNNNNNNNNNNNNNNNNNNNNNNNNNNNNNNNNNNNNNNNNNNNNNNNNNNNNNNNNNNNNNNNNNNNNNNNNNNNNNNNNNNNNNNNNNNNNNNNNNNNNNNNNNNNNNNNNNNNNNNNNNNNNNNNNNNNNNNNNNNNNNNNNNNNNNNNNNNNNNNNNNNNNNNNNNNNNNNNNNNNNNNNNNNNNNNNNNNNNNNNNNNNNNNNNNNNNNNNNNNNNNNNNNNNNNNNNNNNNNNNNNNNNNNNNNNNNNNNNNNNNNNNNNNNNNNNNNNNNNNNNNNNNNNNNNNNNNNNNNNNNNNNNNNNNNNNNNNNNNNNNNNNNNNNNNNNNNNNNNNNNNNNNNNNNNNNNNNNNNNNNNNNNNNNNNNNNNNNNNNNNNNNNNNNNNNNNNNNNNNNNNNNNNNNNNNNNNNNNNNNNNNNNNNNNNNNNNNNNNNNNNNNNNNNNNNNNNNNNNNNNNNNNNNNNNNNNNNNNNNNNNNNNNNNNNNNNNNNNNNNNNNNNNNNNNNNNNNNNNNNNNNNNNNNNNNNNNNNNNNNNNNNNNNNNNNNNNNNNNNNNNNNNNNNNNNNNNNNNNNNNNNNNNNNNNNNNNNNNNNNNNNNNNNNNNNNNNNNNNNNNNNNNNNNNNNNNNNNNNNNNNNNNNNNNNNNNNNNNNNNNNNNNNNNNNNNNNNNNNNNNNNNNNNNNNNNNNNNNNNNNNNNNNNNNNNNNNNNNNNNNNNNNNNNNNNNNNNNNNNNNNNNNNNNNNNNNNNNNNNNNNNNNNNNNNNNNNNNNNNNNNNNNNNNNNNNNNNNNNNNNNNNNNNNNNNNNNNNNNNNNNNNNNNNNNNNNNNNNNNNNNNNNNNNNNNNNNNNNNNNNNNNNNNNNNNNNNNNNNNNNNNNNNNNNNNNNNNNNNNNNNNNNNNNNNNNNNNNNNNNNNNNNNNNNNNNNNNNNNNNNNNNNNNNNNNNNNNNNNNNNNNNNNNNNNNNNNNNNNNNNNNNNNNNNNNNNNNNNNNNNNNNNNNNNNNNNNNNNNNNNNNNNNNNNNNNNNNNNNNNNNNNNNNNNNNNNNNNNNNNNNNNNNNNNNNNNNNNNNNNNNNNNNNNNNNNNNNNNNNNNNNNNNNNNNNNNNNNNNNNNNNNNNNNNNNNNNNNNNNNNNNNNNNNNNNNNNNNNNNNNNNNNNNNNNNNNNNNNNNNNNNNNNNNNNNNNNNNNNNNNNNNNNNNNNNNNNNNNNNNNNNNNNNNNNNNNNNNNNNNNNNNNNNNNNNNNNNNNNNNNNNNNNNNNNNNNNNNNNNNNNNNNNNNNNNNNNNNNNNNNNNNNNNNNNNNNNNNNNNNNNNNNNNNNNNNNNNNNNNNNNNNNNNNNNNNNNNNNNNNNNNNNNNNNNNNNNNNNNNNNNNNNNNNNNNNNNNNNNNNNNNNNNNNNNNNNNNNNNNNNNNNNNNNNNNNNNNNNNNNNNNNNNNNNNNNNNNNNNNNNNNNNNNNNNNNNNNNNNNNNNNNNNNNNNNNNNNNNNNNNNNNNNNNNNNNNNNNNNNNNNNNNNNNNNNNNNNNNNNNNNNNNNNNNNNNNNNNNNNNNNNNNNNNNNNNNNNNNNNNNNNNNNNNNNNNNNNNNNNNNNNNNNNNNNNNNNNNNNNNNNNNNNNNNNNNNNNNNNNNNNNNNNNNNNNNNNNNNNNNNNNNNNNNNNNNNNNNNNNNNNNNNNNNNNNNNNNNNNNNNNNNNNNNNNNNNNNNNNNNNNNNNNNNNNNNNNNNNNNNNNNNNNNNNNNNNNNNNNNNNNNNNNNNNNNNNNNNNNNNNNNNNNNNNNNNNNNNNNNNNNNNNNNNNNNNNNNNNNNNNNNNNNNNNNNNNNNNNNNNNNNNNNNNNNNNNNNNNNNNNNNNNNNNNNNNNNNNNNNNNNNNNNNNNNNNNNNNNNNNNNNNNNNNNNNNNNNNNNNNNNNNNNNNNNNNNNNNNNNNNNNNNNNNNNNNNNNNNNNNNNNNNNNNNNNNNNNNNNNNNNNNNNNNNNNNNNNNNNNNNNNNNNNNNNNNNNNNNNNNNNNNNNNNNNNNNNNNNNNNNNNNNNNNNNNNNNNNNNNNNNNNNNNNNNNNNNNNNNNNNNNNNNNNNNNNNNNNNNNNNNNNNNNNNNNNNNNNNNNNNNNNNNNNNNNNNNNNNNNNNNNNNNNNNNNNNNNNNNNNNNNNNNNNNNNNNNNNNNNNNNNNNNNNNNNNNNNNNNNNNNNNNNNNNNNNNNNNNNNNNNNNNNNNNNNNNNNNNNNNNNNNNNNNNNNNNNNNNNNNNNNNNNNNNNNNNNNNNNNNNNNNNNNNNNNNNNNNNNNNNNNNNNNNNNNNNNNNNNNNNNNNNNNNNNNNNNNNNNNNNNNNNNNNNNNNNNNNNNNNNNNNNNNNNNNNNNNNNNNNNNNNNNNNNNNNNNNNNNNNNNNNNNNNNNNNNNNNNNNNNNNNNNNNNNNNNNNNNNNNNNNNNNNNNNNNNNNNNNNNNNNNNNNNNNNNNNNNNNNNNNNNNNNNNNNNNNNNNNNNNNNNNNNNNNNNNNNNNNNNNNNNNNNNNNNNNNNNNNNNNNNNNNNNNNNNNNNNNNNNNNNNNNNNNNNNNNNNNNNNNNNNNNNNNNNNNNNNNNNNNNNNNNNNNNNNNNNNNNNNNNNNNNNNNNNNNNNNNNNNNNNNNNNNNNNNNNNNNNNNNNNNNNNNNNNNNNNNNNNNNNNNNNNNNNNNNNNNNNNNNNNNNNNNNNNNNNNNNNNNNNNNNNNNNNNNNNNNNNNNNNNNNNNNNNNNNNNNNNNNNNNNNNNNNNNNNNNNNNNNNNNNNNNNNNNNNNNNNNNNNNNNNNNNNNNNNNNNNNNNNNNNNNNNNNNNNNNNNNNNNNNNNNNNNNNNNNNNNNNNNNNNNNNNNNNNNNNNNNNNNNNNNNNNNNNNNNNNNNNNNNNNNNNNNNNNNNNNNNNNNNNNNNNNNNNNNNNNNNNNNNNNNNNNNNNNNNNNNNNNNNNNNNNNNNNNNNNNNNNNNNNNNNNNNNNNNNNNNNNNNNNNNNNNNNNNNNNNNNNNNNNNNNNNNNNNNNNNNNNNNNNNNNNNNNNNNNNNNNNNNNNNNNNNNNNNNNNNNNNNNNNNNNNNNNNNNNNNNNNNNNNNNNNNNNNNNNNNNNNNNNNNNNNNNNNNNNNNNNNNNNNNNNNNNNNNNNNNNNNNNNNNNNNNNNNNNNNNNNNNNNNNNNNNNNNNNNNNNNNNNNNNNNNNNNNNNNNNNNNNNNNNNNNNNNNNNNNNNNNNNNNNNNNNNNNNNNNNNNNNNNNNNNNNNNNNNNNNNNNNNNNNNNNNNNNNNNNNNNNNNNNNNNNNNNNNNNNNNNNNNNNNNNNNNNNNNNNNNNNNNNNNNNNNNNNNNNNNNNNNNNNNNNNNNNNNNNNNNNNNNNNNNNNNNNNNNNNNNNNNNNNNNNNNNNNNNNNNNNNNNNNNNNNNNNNNNNNNNNNNNNNNNNNNNNNNNNNNNNNNNNNNNNNNNNNNNNNNNNNNNNNNNNNNNNNNNNNNNNNNNNNNNNNNNNNNNNNNNNNNNNNNNNNNNNNNNNNNNNNNNNNNNNNNNNNNNNNNNNNNNNNNNNNNNNNNNNNNNNNNNNNNNNNNNNNNNNNNNNNNNNNNNNNNNNNNNNNNNNNNNNNNNNNNNNNNNNNNNNNNNNNNNNNNNNNNNNNNNNNNNNNNNNNNNNNNNNNNNNNNNNNNNNNNNNNNNNNNNNNNNNNNNNNNNNNNNNNNNNNNNNNNNNNNNNNNNNNNNNNNNNNNNNNNNNNNNNNNNNNNNNNNNNNNNNNNNNNNNNNNNNNNNNNNNNNNNNNNNNNNNNNNNNNNNNNNNNNNNNNNNNNNNNNNNNNNNNNNNNNNNNNNNNNNNNNNNNNNNNNNNNNNNNNNNNNNNNNNNNNNNNNNNNNNNNNNNNNNNNNNNNNNNNNNNNNNNNNNNNNNNNNNNNNNNNNNNNNNNNNNNNNNNNNNNNCGACCAAAGAGAUGGUUCGGGGAGUCGGUUUGAAGGAGGUAUUAGCACCCCACGCAUAGUUAGUACUCUAGCGGGAUCCACGCACAAAGAUAGAAUAUUGGUGCUAACGCUGCUCACACUCCACGCACGCUGGCUGAAAGAGACACAAGAAACUGACUGAAACUGACUCGCGGAUAUCGAUCUGGCUACUUUAGUCUAUCAGGAUAGACAUCAGGUCGGAGUAGUUCGACUGGGGGAAACGAACAUGCGCCGUAGGAAUGCAUUCCUAGCAUACGUAUCUUUCGACGAAGAAGAAUCAGAGCAUUCGCUAGUGGCUGACCACGCACGACAUAACAGACACAGGAAAGGCAAACGUGGAGCCGAAACCAAUGCAAUGGCUUCAUCAGAUCCGAACCAAAACACACCAGAAAGGCAAAGUGGAGCCUGAAUGCAAUGGCUGGACUUACAUCUAGAUCCGAACCAAAACACACGACACUGGAACCUAACUGCACUCGAUGGCUUACAAUCAGCUUCCAAGCACACAACGAACACAAACAAGUUAAUAGGGAGUCGGGGACUCGAGCUAUAACAUGUCAACACACAACAAAGAAAGAAAGGCGGCCCGGAGAGAUCAGCUCAAUCUCUGCUACAGUAACUUCAUCUGGUAGACGAUCAGGGCGAGUGUAGUUCCCUAACGCGGAUAAAGACUAGCUUAACAGAUAACAGAGGGAGACACAACUAGGGAGACUACGACUCGGCCUAGAUGUAUAUCAUGGCAAAAUCAUUCCCUAAGUUAAGUUCUGAGCUAACUGGCAAGGGAGCCAGCCUAUCCUAAAGAUAUGGCUUGCCACAGGAAGCAAGCCACACACACACUUAACUUGCCAGGAAAGCAGCAAGCAACAUACUUGCAAGUUUGAAGCAAGUCUAAACUAACUAACUUGCACAGGAAGCAAGUCAAACAAUCCUCACUUGCCACAGAAGCAAGGUCAAACAUCCUACAAGCACAGAUAGCAACACUAACACAAGCAAGUGGCUCAACAAGGGUUAGGUUUUAGUCGAGGUCAUAUCAACCUCAACAAACCAACCUCUGAAUGAGGGAUGUGCUCUUAAACUUGCCAUUGGGGGUAAGGUGAGCAGCAGAUGAAGGGAGAUUGAGGGGUGUGCUCAGUUGCUUCUAUCCCGGCCUGGGAGAGCUCAAGAAGAAUGUGUGGCUAGAAAAGUGGGACCUUCUACACAUUUAAAACGAAUGACUCAACUGUACAAUGUAACAAGAUCUUGGGUUUGUAUUGAAAUUGAUCAAAUUCCUUGAUUGGCUUGCACUUGAGGCAAAUGAGGCAAUGCAAUGCUAUGCAAUGGACCAUGAUAUGCUAGGACCUAAUAUGAAAAUGUAUGUACAAUGAUAGGUGCAAAUUUGAGGUGCUACAACUCCCAUUUGAUUUGCAUGGCUACGAUACUUUAGUAUGUACUAUUGGUGUAAGCCCUAGAGGCCAAUACUUUUGGUACUUGUAUCGAAUUAUUUAUUAAUAAUAAAAGGCUUUUUUCUUUAUUAUGUUUGUUUAAUAAAGUCCCUAAAAUAGCUAGUCCGUUUAAUGUAUCAAGUGUGACUUAAUCACGAGAUCCCAUUAAACAUAAGGAUAUUAUUCUUAAAGUAUCCGUAGUCGAGUUUUGUUGUGAAGUGGGAUAACAUUAAAGCAUUAAGACUAUUAUGUACAUAGACUGAUGAUCACAUCUCAUGGAUCAUGGAUAAUGAGUUAUCAAGUCUUAAACAUAUCUAUGAAUAUUAGCAAUAAUAUUUAUACUGGAUUGACCCGCUAUGAGAAUACUAUAUAGAGUGUUAUGCAAAGUGUCAUAAGUUAUUCUCAUGGUGAUAGUGGUGUAUACCACCCUUCGACCUGAAACCACUAUGGACCCUAUAUGUAGAGUCGAGUGCUUUAUUGUUGAUAAAACAUUGUCCGUAACUGAAUGACCAUAAAGACAGUUGAUGGGUACUCCACGAAGCAUGCUGAGGGACAUGAGUGACCUAGAUGGAAUUUGCCCAUCCUGCGUAACAUGAUAAAUGUCUACGGGCUCAAUAUUGAACUGGACAAUGAUAACACGGUAUAUGCCUUGUGUUCAAUAUAGAUAUAAGGGCAAAAUGGUAAUUGUAUACAUAAGUAUUAUCACAUAAGGAUUUUUCAAAUCACAUGUCAUUUUCGUGUCUUGGGUAACAGUGAUGUGUUGCUAGAUACCGCUCACUGCUUAUUAUGUUAAAUACGUGAUUUAAUAUAAUUGUCAAUGUCGCGAAAACCUACAGGGUCACACACAAAAGGACAGAUUGAUGAGAGAUAAAGUAAAUAAGGAACACCGUAAGGUACGAUGCACUUAAGUGAAUUGUAGAACAUCGUAAGAUACGGUGUACUUAAGUAGAAUACGAAAUAUGGCAAGGUACCAUGCGCUUAAGUGAUUUUGGCAUAUCAUAAGAUAUGGGCCACAUACACUUAAGUGGGUUUUUUAGCUUACAGCCCACACAAGUGGUUCUAUAAAUAGAACCCUUGUGUAGAAUCAUUUAUUUAGAUGAAAAUUAUGUUUCUCUCUCUCUCUCACUCACACACACACACACACUCAAUGCCUUCAUUCGUAGCAGUUAGCACUGAGAUUGAAGGAAUCCGUUCGUGUGGACUAAGUAGAGGCAUUGUCACCAUUUAACGUUCGUGAUCACUCCUUAGAUCUGCAUCAAAGGAUUCAAUCGCCACAAGAAGCAACGAUUCUAUCACUGAUUAUGCCCACUCGUAAGGAUCACUAAAGGAGAAUUUUUUUUAAUUCUGCUGUGUUUUUGGAUCGCCAUUCUCCUUCAUGUACUUCCACUAGGGAACCCCCGUUCUCUCUUGUAUAUGACAUGGAUGUAGUUCUGCCUGUUGAAGUGGAGAUUCCCUCCUUGAGGAUAUUGACCGAUGUUACACUCGACGAAGCUGAAUGUAUACAUGCAGGGCUUUAUCAACUAAAUCUCAUUGAUAAAAAGCUCUUGGAAGCUAUCUGCCAUGACCAGUUAUACUAAAAGCGUCUCAAGAAGGCAUUCAACAAAAGGGUUUUUCCUCAGAAUCUCAAGGCAUGAGACCUGGUGUUGAGAAGAUUCUGCCUAUUCAUACCGAUCCAAGGGGCAAACUGAAGCCUAACUACAAAGGCUCAUACGUUGUGAGGAAGGUUUUCUCUAGAGGAGCAUAUAUACUUCAACUAUGGAUGGUGAAGAUCUUCCAUCCCCUCUGAACGCAUACGCAAUAAAAAAAAUACUACGCUUAAGAAAAAAAAGAAAACCCGAUAAGUUAAAAACUCCAAGGGACAACCUAGGCAAAAGGGUAUCCUGGUAGGCUAAAAACCCAAAAGGAUGGUCUAGGCAAAAUCUAGGGAUUUAUAAAGCGAGAGACUGCGGUCUACGAAGAAUCUUUGAAUCCAUCAUAACAAUUCUGAAUGGAGAAUCAAUCUGAUCACUUUCUUCAUAAGCAAGAUCCAAGGACCUUCAAAGACAUAGGGAUUAUAGCAAAAAUUAGAACUUAGUGGAAAUCCAAUAUUUUCUCAUUGCCAUUAUUGUUUUUCCAUUUCUUUUAGCCAUCACCAUUUUUAGGAAUUGCUCCCUCAUGUAAUUUACCCAUUUAUGGGUUUAUCUCUUAUCAAGGAAAUCUUUUUUCAUCAAAUAUGCUCAAUACUUUUAUUUUUGUGCUCUAUGUGUGAAAUGCGAAUUUCUUUAAUAAAUAUUACAUUAAAAAAAUUGGGGAUAAUAAUAAAAAGUUUUGAAGGAAAAACAAGAAAUUACUUUACUUUCAAAGUGUCUAAAGGUAACCACGGUUCCAAUGAGCUUGGUAUACAAAGACACCACAAAGCCACAAAGUCCCUUGGACUUGACCAGGUCAAGGAAUCCUUAUCAGGAUGAUCAGCGACCAGCUGUAGAUGGACCAAAUGCAGUCUGAACAUCAGAAGAUCUAGAUUACGAUGUCGAAAAGUUAGAGUUCCACUCUCCCCAGGAAGACUUAAAGCACAACCUUGUUUGGCACCCCUCCGAAACCCAAUCGUUAUUGGCACCCCCAAUAAAUGUUAACCAUAAAUCCCAACCAUGCUUGGCACAAUCCGCAGACCAUGCAUUUUCACAUCCCCAGCAGCCCUAGCAUACAUUGACAUUUUACAUAUAUAACAUUGCAUCAUAGUAUACACUUUAAAAUGGGACAUGCAUGCUUAGCAUAAGCCUCAUUCAAGUAUUUCUCAAAAGCACAAAUUUUCUUAUAAAUAUCCUCAACAAAUACGUAUGGCAAGAUUCCCUCAGAAUAUUUCUUCCCAAUAUUUGCUAGGGAUUAUUGUAGUGGUAAAUUCAUGACCAUUAAGCUAUGGAUAAACUUAACGUCAAUAAAACCAGUAUCGACACUGUGCUUUUAUUGUUUCCAAAGGAAAAGGUAAAAGUACGAACAAAACCCAAAGAUAAGUAGUUUUCAAAUCAAAACUAAUAAAAUGCCAGAGAUUACAGGUAAGGGGGUUGGUUACACAGAGGAAAAGUGUUAGCACCCAAAGUGUCCUAGGUACUCCUAGGGAGCCCUUUUUUAUGUGUGUAUGUGUUUUUGGUACAAAAGAUGUUUGAGAAAAAUAGAGUGUGAGGAUGAAAAAAGAAUUCAUUGAUUAUUUUUUUGUGUUUGACAAGACCUUCAGACUUGUGCCUACGUACCAACAUGAAAAUGAGGGAUCAAAACCUCGUAGUUAGUGGUAUCAAUUUCAAAAUGAGUGGAUUGCUUUUAAUCAAAACUUUAAGUUUAAAGAAGCACAACGGGCCUAAAAGUUUGAAUGGGUGUUAGUUCUUUUUGUCUUUUGAAAUUUUAAGUCAAUAUGACUAGAUUUAUUUACAAGUUUGAUUUAAGAAAACAGUUUAAAAACUCAUUGGCAUAAGGCCAAAGUUUAUAUUUUUGAAAUAAAGUCUAAGUUUUGAAAUCACAAGCAAAGAAAGUUUUUGAAAAAGUGGGGAGAGAUUUUGAAAUUUAAGAAGUGGGAGGAGAUGAAGAGACUAAUCUUAAGCAUAAAAUUAAAAGUUAAGAGUUGAAAAGAUCUGACCAAUGAGAUGCAAUCUAACAGACAAGAAUAUCAUAUAGAAAACCCAUUUUCCUUUUGGACUUUGAAUCAAGCAAUUACUAACAAACAAUAGCAAUAUCAGACAUCAUAAAGAUCAAGGCAUCAAAUAAAGAUGACAACAUCUAAGAAAACAAAUCCCAUAGCUAGAAGUCUUCUUUGUCUUCUCAUGUAUCAGAUGAAAUACUCCUUGAUUAACUCAGAAUAAAGCAUUAGACAUAAGAUCAAAUAACAAUUGCAUCAAGACCAUGUAGUAGAAGAAUUCAAGUGGAUCCCAAUAGUUGCAUCAAAUGAAAGCUCAAUUCUCAAUAACUUGGUCUCAAAAUGUUGCCAUUGGCCAAGUCCUUUUGCAUAUGGAAUGUUGCCUAAUCCUAAGUCCAGAAGUUCAAAUCAAGCCCAACAGUCCACCAAACAUUUUUUAGGGUUUUUGUUGCUUAUUAAUUAUUUUAAGGUCCUAAGACCACAAACCCACAAAGAAAAUAUACAAACAAAAUAUUUACAAUAACAAUAUAUGGCUCAAAUGAGCAAAGUGAAAAUGACAUAAACAUAAACAAGUUAAAUGAUAUGUAAAUGACAAUGAAUGGUAAAUGACUAGAAAUUAAAUUACAUAGAGAUAAAUGACUUGAAAGUAAAGCAAUAUUAAUGAGAAGUUAGUCAAAUGUUAGUUAAUUAUAUGUUAGUGAUGUUUUGCUUUUCAAUUGAUUAAGUCAUUCUUCGGAGAAUACUCAACCAUCUAUUCAUAAGCAUGUAUCCUUGAACCAAGACAUCUUCCAAAGGAAGGAAAAAAUACCAAGUUUCCACAUAAUACCAUGAAAGAUGGGAGACUUACAAUCUCGAUUACUAGAAUACUAUGCCUUUAGGGUCAAAUUUAGCUCUAUGUUAAGCAAUCGUAAUUGGACUUAUAUAGAAUUCACAACUAUCUGAGGUUGGGCAAUAAAAAUUUAGGUGUUAAUGCAUGUUAGAGAUUUGGUAUAAUGAACGAAACUCUUAAAACAUACCACACACUAAAAGAAAAAGAUCAAAUGAUGGACCUAUCUCAUACAUACUUAUAUUGGUUCAUCUAACACAAAGUUAUUGAUGAACCAAUUAGCCUUAGAAUUCUUGAGAUUUCAUUGGUCAAUGAAAGGGAUGGGAAAGAAUGGGAUUGAAGAUGGAGAGGGAUGGGAGAUGAGAGAAACACAAAUUGGUCAUGGAAUUUUUUUUAUCAAAUUAAAAUCAUUCAUUCAUUUUGGGAGAUGAAAUGUACAUUUCAUCAAUCCCCUAAAUCCAAUGAUUUUAACUUAACAAAAGUCAAACAUCACAAGUCAAUAAAAAAUGGCUCAACAUAAUUUCUAUACAAUUAAUUAAUUAAAAAAUUAAAUUAAAAUGCAUUUAAAUUCAAUUUAGUUUGGUCAAAACCUAAAACCUCUUCAAAACACCAAAUAAAUGGCCAAUAAAUUUAUCCUAGGUUAAACAAGGUCAAAGGACCUUAGGCAAAAAAAAUUCCAAUUUUUGAAAAGUUAGAAUUAUUUUUAAACAAUUAAAAAUAUGCACAAAAACAAUUAAUUCAUGAAAAAUAAUAAAAUUAAUCCAAAAAAUAAUUUUAAUUCAGAAAAUGAAAGAGGAAAUUAUUUAAAUAUUUUUGGUGAAAGUCCCAUAUUUUUUAGAUUAAAAAUGAAAUUAAUCAGAAUAAAUGGAUUAAACAUAAAAUCAAAAAUUAAAAUAAAAUUCAAAAAAACAAGGGUCAUCAGAUCUCCCUCAUUAAUUGAGGUGGCAUAUCUUAUGGUCACGCGUGCGCUAUCCAGGAUGCACCAAGUAAAACGUGUCACACCAAUGGUAAUCAGAACCAAGGGCUAAGAUUAAAACAUUUCGAAUGGAUCUGAUGGCUGAGAGGCGUGACAACACACCACUGGAGCUAGGACUCCGGUCUUCUUCUUCGGUGGACCUCACCGGAUUGGUCCACCAUCAACCAUCACUAAAAAAAACAAGGACAUGGAUUCAAAGAAAAAAAUGUUCAGGAGCUCGAAUCUGGCCUCAAUUUUCUCCAAUUCCACGUAUAUAAAAAGAUACAGGGAUUUGAAUUUUGAGGAUCAUGAACUGAGUUGCUUCAAUUUGACCUUAAAGCAACUCAAUCUUCUUACCUACAUUGACAGGACUUCAGCCAACCAAAAAUCAGAAAGAAUGGUGAAGAAUUGAGGGAGAAUCGAAGAGAUGAAAAUUCUGGAAAAUUACCUUUGAGGGAGCUCCAACCUUGCUUGAUCUUGAUUCCAAUUGUGAUUGGCUUUGUUUCAGAAGCUUGUAGGAAGUGAUUAAGAUUAGAAAAUGGCAUGGACUCUUGGAGUUUCAAUCUCAAAACAGAAUGAGAUUUGAAGCUCGAUUUUCAAAUGAAAACCUUCAAGAUUAUACUUUAAUGAGGGUUUGGAUUGCAGGUUCAAAGCUUGGGCAUGAGGUCCUUAAUUCUGAGCAAUGAGGGUUGUAUUUAUAGCCAAAGAGAUUCAUUUCCACACACUUCCAAAAAUUGUCAAUGCUAGCAAUUCACCUUGCAUGCUUGCAUGGGUGUGUGAUAGGCCUAUCAAGUGAUGUAUUCAGGUCCAAAAAUGAGUGAGAAUCAUGCUGAAAUCAUGUCAUAUGGUCAUGCACUUGUGUUUGAAAUGUGGAAGUGAAAAUCAUUCAAAUGGUAUCUCACAUUGCACCCAUGCGCAAGUUCUUCAUUCUUUGGCCAAAUGAGAUGAUCUUGGACUUUUUGGAAAGGUAAGAUCAACGGGAAAAACUUUAAUCUUGAACACUUUUUAGUUUGAAUCUUGGAUCAUGAUGAAUUUUGAGGUGGAAGUUUGGGAAAUCAAACAUAUUUGAAAAUUUUCUAAGUACCAAGUCAAAUGUUCACUUCUUCCACCUUAAAUAACUUUUUCUAUGAACUUCAAAUGGAAAAGUUUCCUUCAUAAAAGUUAUAUAUCUUUCAAACAUAUUCAAUUUGGUCUCAAAGUUGACCUUAUUUGUAUUUGGAACGAAGGAGUUAUGCAUUUUAGAAGUUGAGGAAAAUCACUUGUUCAAUGGUAAUGGCCCAAAAUGACCUAUAAUGUUUCCUCUUUGCACAUGCAUUUUCAAUUUGAACUAGAACUUCCUCCAAACAUAAAAGUUGAAGAGGUCAUCUUGAAUUUAAUCAUGGAACUUUAAUUGCUUUUAUCUCAUAAACAAUGAGCAAGUUAUGGUCUUGAGAAGUUGACCUCCUAACUAGGGUUCAGACAAAAUGACCUAUAAUCUUUCACUAUAAAAAAUAACUUUCCAAUCAAAACUAGAUCUAGAAUUUAAUAUGAAAGUUAUUUGGAAUGUAAUUAUGAGUAACUUUUCUCUUGGAAUCAUUUUCAUAUGACAAAAAUUGUAGGAUAUAGGGUCUAGGGAACCCCGGUUUUGACCAGUUGACUUUCUCUGGUCAACCAUCAUGUACCAUCUUGCUAACUUGACAUUCUAUUGAUUUUUGGGACUCAUGGAGGAUCAUAUAUGUGUAAGAUGAUGUAAUAUGAAGUAUACCUUGAAAUAUUUGAUCAAAUGUUGAAGAAACUUAUUGAAGAAACUUAUUGAAGAAGUCACACAAGAUACCUAGAUGAAUUAGGGUUCAAAGGCAAACAAGCUUCAAACUCUUGAUGAAUUCUUGAUCAAAAUAAAAUGUGAAGACCAUGGGGAUCCAUAUAUGAUGCGUAUAACCAAUUUGAACCAUUUCUUGAUUGAACUCCUUGAAUUGAGGGUCUCAAACCCUAGAUAUGAGCUUAAUAUAACAUAGGUGAGUAUACACACUACCUACCAAAGAAAUAAAGCUAUACAUAGACAUAUUUUUGGUAUUUUGGUUAGUAAAUAAUGAAAAACAAAGUAUGAUACAAUCAAAAUGUGCUUGGUGAUCUCUCCCAAUGCAAACUCAAUGGAUGAGGGGUAAGGAGGAUACCAAGGUACGAUCCCAAUACUAAUGCAUAUGAUGAGAUAGCAUGAAGGAUCUUAUGGUCAAAAUUGGGGUCUUACAACUCCCCCUAUUUAAGGACAUUCUAACUGAGGAUGUGAAGGUUAAAAUCUUCGUAUCAACUCAGUAGAAUGGACUUAAAUAACAACAUAUAGAAACAAAUUUUGAUCCCUAAGAGACCUCAUGAUACAUAUGAUAUGGAUGUUAAAAAUAAUCUUUAUGGGGGGAAAUGUUGCCACAAAGGAAAAGGAAUUCGGAGAGACUGAAAGUCCACAGAAGCAUAAUGCAUUCCCUAAGGAAAACUCACUGUGGAGACAGAGACUCUGGGGGAUAAAAGGUUGUGCGUAGGCCAGACUACGACUUAAAACUGCUAGAGACGCGAGGGAGAUUUCCAUGAAGAUAAAUUAAUGGAAAGACUUAGUCAGAGAUAAGGGAAACUGCAUGGGAAACAGGUAGAUCAGAAUAAAACUAAAAUACCUGAACCAAACUCAAUUAGGGAAGAAUGAUCUUCAAUACAGGAGUACCAUAAUUAUAUUAUCUAUUACCAGCUACUGAGUAGGAAGAUAAUAUACUCUAAUAGAGGGAUAUGCGUUAUCGGUUAGGGUAAACAUAUCAAGGAUGACUCGCUGAGGGAAAAGAGAUGUGUUUGUUACCGGUUACUGGGUAAGAACAAACUGCUGGGGAAAAUAUCAAAUAGGAUUUACAACUACCGGUUACUGAGCAGAAGGCCGAAGAGAGAACUUCCGCCACUGGUUAAAGUGAACAUAUCAAGGAUAAACUCAAGGGAAUAAUAUCUGUCAUCGAUUAAGAUGAACAUAUCAAGGAUAAACCACCUGGGGAAAUGGGAAGAAUAUCCAUUACUGGUUAAGGUAAACAUAUCAAGGAUAGACUGUUGGGAAAAGUAGGAAUUAUAUCUAUCAGUUAGUGGAUAGAAUACCAAAGAGAGAAUAUCCGUCACCGGUUAGGAUGAACAUAAUAAGGAUAGACUCAGAGGGAAAAGUAGGAUUUAUAACUACCAGUUACUGGGCAGAACACCACAAAGAGGAGAAAACCCGUCAUGAGUUAGGAUGAACAUAUCAAGGAUUAACUCUCUGAGAAUGAAAUAUGGAUUACAACCACCUUUUUACUGGGUAGAAAACCACAAAUAGAGAAUAUCUGUCAUAGGUUAAAGUGAACAUAUCUAGGAUAGACUCAAAGGAAGAAUAUUCAUCAUCGGUUAGGAUGAACAUAUCAAGGAUAAAUCACCUAGGGAAACAUAAAACGAAUCUGCUGGGGAACAAUAAUAGGAAGUAGAUUACUAUUACCGGGUAUUAGGUAAAAGUAAAGUACUUGCAAAUUAAAAAGAAUAUUACCAAUUACUGGGUAAUAGACUUACGAGGGACCAAAAACAUCUAUCUAGGUAAGAGCUAGAAAGAAACAGUCAAACAAAGACUCGAUCUGAUGAGGAUAGAACUUAGGGGGGAAUGGUUCCAUCCAGCCAAUCAGCUGGGGAGGAAGAUGAAAUGAUAAUCUUCCACGAGGAAAUAACUCAGUGGGGAAUGAGAAAGGUUAAAUUCUUUCUGUUUUAAGGGGAUGACUCUCUAUAAUUUGAGGGAGGACAGACACACCAAAUCUGUAUGGAGAAACAAUAUCACCGUAGUAGAGGAUCAGAAAUAAAGAAUCAAACGCAAUGACAUGCAUAAUUAAAUAUCUGAUGUACGAACGUAUAUGUAUAUGAUUGAUGAUUAUGCUGACAAAACAAUCAUAAAGGAUACAAAUGUCACUGACUUGAAUCAUCACUACAACACUUGACUGAUCUCGACAAGAUGGAAGCACCAAAUAGAGAAAAAUGUUGGGGAUGAACAUAAAUCAUCCAUCUCUGAUUAAUUCAAGCCCUGGCUGAGGAGAGAGAAAGGAUCUGCUAAGGACCUGAAUUGUCAACUCUGCGGGGAAUUUUAGGUCAACACCAUACCAAAUGGGAGACAACCUUGCAGAGGACCAUAAAUACUGCUCAAGUAUCGAUGCUGGCAGAAAUUCGGAGCGAACUCCGCUGGAGAUCAUAGGGCAAUAUAACUUUGUGUAGGAUCUAUGUGAACCGUUGAGAAUAUGCACCUACAACUCAGCUGGGGAGGCGAUUACAAACUCAGCUGGGGAAACUGAUUUUCCUUUGGGGAGGAAAAAGUGACCAAACUAACCGCUUGGGGAAGACCAACAAUGCUUUGCACUUUAGGACUCACCUGUUCUCAUACCGCUGUUGAUAUUCCUUACUGAAAUUGACUGCUUUUUAAAAUAAUUUCUUUUAUUAUUUAAGAAAAAUGAUUUUCAUUUAUUUUCAUAUUUAAAAUUAUCAUCAUAAAAGUCAAUUUUAUUUAGCUGAAAAAUAAAUAAGAGUAGAAACAAUUGGAUAAAAAGCUCAACUUUAUUAAAUAGAAUGGUAGUCUGUAAAUGACAAGACUCCAUAGAUCUUUACAAAAGAUUGAAAAAUGGUAAUUUACAUGGGAAAGGGAUACAUUGAAUACAAUGAUCACUAAUCCUUCUACCAACUUCAAUGUCCAUUGUGCUCUUGGCUUCAGUUGAGGACGAUGAAUUAGAAAUGAGUGUCUUGCUCAAGAACGCUCUAAAGACUGGAGAUCAACCGAAGGCAAUUACUUGCCAUGAUCCCUAAUUUUUUGCAUAGAUUUCCCCAAGGUGGGGUACUCAAUCUAUCGGGAUAAAUUUCCUAUUUUAUGUCUCUAAUUUUUGCUUGGAUUUCCCUUCCAGGUUUUCAAUCCACCGAGACGCUCAUUUUCGCCUAAGCCGCCCUUUGAGGUUUUCAACUUAGCGAGCUGUUCUUUUUCUUUUUAGGCGAAGUAUUUCUUGACUGCAUCUGAAUUUAUAGGACGAGUGAACUCUUCACCAUCCAUAGUUGUAAGAAUCAAAGCACCGCCUGAAAAGGCUCUCUUAACAACAUAUGAGCCUUCAUAAUUAGGAGUCCAUUUGCCCAUAGCAUCUGGCUUGAAAGAUAGAAUCUUCUUGAGCACAAGGUCACCUUCUCUAAACACACGAGGCAUGAACUUCUUAUCAAAAGCUUUCUUCAUUCUCUGCUGGUAUAACUGACCAUGGCACAUGGAAGUCAACCUCUUCUCUUUAAUCAAACUCAGCUGGUUAUACUUGGUCUGACAUCGAUUCAACUUCAAUCAACUUGGCUUCCAUUAGCACACGCCGUGAUGGGAUCUCAACCUCUAAGGGGUGCAUAGCUUCCAUGCCAUAAACAAGUGAGAAAGGGGUUGCCCAUGUUGAAGUACGAAUGGAUGUACGGUACCCAUGCAAGGCAAAUGGUAGCAUUUCAUGCUAAUCUUUGUACGACACAAUCAUCUUCUGAAUGAUCUUCUUAAUGUUCUUAUUUGCAGCUUCAACAACCCCAUUCAUCUUGGGUCUGUAGGGAGAAGAAUUAUGAUGUUCAAUCUUAAAGUCUUUGAAAAGAAGUUCCACUAUAUUAUUAUUCAAGUUUAAUCCAUUAUCAGUAAUGAUCUUACUUGGAACACCAUAACGACAUAUAAUCUGAUUCAUGAUAAACCUUACAACCACUUGCUUGGUCACAUUUGCAUAUGAUGCCGCUUAAACCCACUUGGUGAAGUAGUCAAUAGACACCAGAAUGAAAUGAUGUCCAUUCCAAGCUUUGGGCUCAAUCAUGCCAAUCAUAUCAAUUCGCCAUAUGGAGAAGGGCCACGAAGAGGAAAUAACGUUCAAAAGUGUCGGAGAAAUAUGAAUCUUAUCUGCAUAAAUUCGACACUUGUGGCAUUUCUUCAUAAACUUGCAACAGUCAAAUUCCAUUGUCAACCAAUAGUAACCUGCUCUCAACAUCUUCUUAGCCAUAACAUGUCCAUUGGAAUGAGUACCAAAGGAACCCUCAUGGACUUCAGUCAUCAAUAAGUCUGCUUCAUGUCUAUCCACGCAUCUAAGCAAAACCAUAUCGAAGUUUCUCUUAUAAAGCACAUCACCAUUCAGGUAGAAGUUGCAACCUAAUAUGCUCAAAGUCUUCUUAUCUUUCAAAGAUGCCCCAUGCGGGUAAACCUGACUUUGGAGGAAACACUUGAUAUCAAAAUACCAUGGCUUCUCAUCUUUGACUUCUUCAACAGCAAAUACAUGAGCUGGCCUAUCAAGACGCAUCACAGUCAAAUUGGGAACUUCAUUCCAAAAUUUCACUAUAAUCAUUGAAGCCAACGUUGCAAGAGCAUCUGCCAUCCGGUUUUCAUCUCGAGGGAUAUGAUGAAACUCAACCUUUGUAAAGAAAGUUGAAAUCCUCCUCGCAUAGUCUUUAUAUGGUAUCAAAUCGGGUUGAUUUGUCUCCCAUUCACCUUUGAUUUGAUUCACAACCAAAGUUGAAUCUCCAUAGACAUCAAGACACUUGAUUCUGAGAUCAAUGGCCUCUUCAAGCCCCAUAAUGCAAGCUUCAUACUCAGGCAUUUUGUUUGUACACUUGAAAGUUAAUUUAGCUAUAAAUGGAAAAUGUGUGCCUUGAGGAGUAAUCAUCACUGCCCAAUGCCAUUACCAUACUGAUUAACAACUCCAUCAAAUACCAUGCCCCAAUGGGAACUAGGUUCUGGCCCUUCUUCAAGCAAUGGUUCAUCACAAUCUUUCAUUUUCAAGUACAAGAUCUCUUCGUCAGGAAAAUCAUACUGCACCGACUGAUAGUCUUCAAUCAGUUGGUGAGCCAAAUAGUCAGCCAAGACACUACCUUUAUUCACUUUUUGAGAUCAGUAUUCAAUAUCAUACUCGGAUAACAACAUCUGCCAACGGGCAAUCCUCCCAGUUAAAGUAGACUUCUCAAAAAUAUACUUGAUUGGAUCCAUUUUGUCUAUUAACUAAGUAGUAUGAUUCAAAAUAUACUGGCGCAGACGCUUAGUAGCCCAAGCCAAUGCACAAUAAGUCUUUUCCAGCAUAGAGUACAGAGUCUCACAGUUGGUGAAUUUCUUACUGAGGUAGUAAAUUGCAUAUUCUUUCUUUCUAGUUUCACCUUGCUGACCAAGAACACAACCCAUACUUUCUUCAAGCACAGUCAAAUACAUGAUCAAAGGUCUUCCUUCAACAGGCGGAGAUAGAAUCAGAGGCUCAAGCAAAUACUCUUUGAUACUGUUAAAAGCUUUCUGGCAAUCUUCGGUCCAAUCACAAGACUGAUCUUUCUGAAGAAGCUUGAAUAUAAGCGUACAUGUGGUAGUCAUAUGCGAUAUAAAUCUUGAGAUAUAAUUCAAGCGGUCGAGAAAACCUCUGACUUGUUUCUCAGUUUUGGGCGCAGACAUCUCUUGUAUUGCUUUGACCUUGGCAGGAUCAACUUCAAUACAGUUCUCGCUGACAAUAAAGCCCAACAACUUACCAGAACAAACACCAAAAGUACACUUAUUAGGAUUCAAGCGGAGUUUUUACCUCCUCAAACGCUGGAAUAACUUCAACAAAUGCUCAACGUGUUAUUCUUCAUCACUUGAUUUGGCAAUCAUAUCAUCAACAUAGACUUCAAUCUCUUUAUGCAUCAUAUCAUAGGAAAGAGUGGUCAUAGCUCUCGGGUACGUUGCACCAGCAUUCUUUAAACCGAAAGGCAUCACUCUAUAAUAGAAUGUUUCCCAGGGCGUAAUGAAUGUGGUCUUCUCCAUAUCUUCGGGUGCCAUCUUGAUUUGAUUAUAACCGGAAAAUUCGUCCAUAAAUGAAAAGACUUUGAAUUUAGUUGUAUUGUCUACCAACAUAUCAAUGUGUGGCAGAGGGAAAUCAUCUUUCGGACUAGCUUUAUUCAAAUCUCUGUAAUCAACACACAUACAGACUUUUCCAUCCUUCUUAGGAAGUGGCACAAUAUUAGCCACCCACUACAGGUACUCAGAGGUUACAAGAAAACCAACAUCAAUCUGCUUUUGUGCUUCUUAUUUGAUCUUCACUUUCAUAUCUGGAUGAGUCCUUCUCAACUUCUGCUUGACCGGCGGGCAUUCUGGCUUCAAUGGCAAUCUAUGCUCCACAAUUUCAGAAUCCAAACCAGACAUGUCUUGAUAGGACCAAGCAAACACAUCUGAAUGUUCUCGAAUAAGAUUAAUCAACCCCUUCUUAACCUCUGGACACAGUUGAGACCCAAUCUUGACUUCCUUCACAUCAUCUUCGGAACCAAAGUUUACCAACUCAAUCUGCUCUUCGAAUGGCUGAAUGGCUUUUUCCUCAUGCUCAAGUAGACGAGAUAAUUCAUCAGAUACUUUUUCAUCACUAGUCUCUUCCUUAACCUCAAACACGGGGAGAUCAAAGUUUGGAGAGGGAGUAGGAUCAUUGUAUUCAAUGGGUCAGGGAACCAACCUGCAUAAUGAUUUGAUAUUUUGAUUUUAGAGAAGUUAAUUGUGACCAAAUAUUAUGCAGAUGGACAAUUAUUAUUUAUUUUUAUGUUUUUUGUGAUUACCAUUUUUAGAAAGGGAAAAAGUAAAAAUAAAACAUCAUAGAUGUGGAUGAAUAAAAUUGUAUUUUAUUGAUGAUAAUUGAAAUGCCUAACAAUGUUCACUUCUCCCUUAGGCAUAGAAGAAGGAUUUUUCUUAAAAAUGAAAAACAAAUUACUUAGUGCGGCGAACAAUAACAGGAACAUCAACAACAACCUAGUUGUUGCAAGUCUUGCCAUGCGUCACAAAGUUGGUGCAGUCUUCAUCUUUAUCAUCCUCAAUUACAGCAGUUGAGGAUUGUUCAUUACCAUGAAUGAACCCUCCACUACGGAAACUUGGUUGCACAUCUUCAGCUUUCACGUUGAAUGGCCUUUGUUUAAAUCCCAAUCCGGACCUAUUUUUAUUCUCAGCAAUUUCCACCAUAAGGCCCCAUUGAUCAGUACUGCCCGUCUUAAUAACUUUCUGAGCAUCCUUCAAAAAAGACAUGGGUGCCCCAGUUUUCUUUACUUCAGCAAUAAACAACGCUUGAAACGGAGUUCUAACCUCCUCCUCAGCUUCAACAUAUGAAAAUGAUGACAAAUGACUUACUAAGAGUGCCUUCUCUCCACCGACAACGACAAACUUGUCGUUCUUCACAAAUUUGAGCUUUUGGUGUAGAGUAGAUAUCACAGCUCCAACCUCAUGAAGCCAUGGCCUUCCCAAUAAACAGCUAUAGGCCGGGUGGAUAUCCAUCACUUGAAAAGUAAUUUGGAAAUCACUCGGACCUAUCUUGACUGGGAGGUCCACUUCACUAAUGAUAGUUUUACGAGAACCGUCGAACGCUUUGACAAUCACGCCACUGUAUCUCAUUAGGGCGCCUUGGUAAGAGAGUCUGGACAAAGUUUACUUCGGGAGCAUAUUCAAAGAAGAACCAGUAUCAAGCAACACAUUAGACAGCACAUCCUCCUUGCAGUUCAUAGAAAUAUGGAGUGCCAUAUUGUGAUUUCUACCUUCCUCAGGAAGCUCUUCAUCACAAAAGCUCAAGUUAUUGCAAGAAGUGAUAUUAGCAACAAUAUGGUCAAACUGAUCCACAUUAACGUCGUGCUCGACAUAGGCUUUCUCUAGUACUCUUUGCAUUGCUUCUCUGUAUGCUUCAUAAUUCAUUAAAAGAGACAACACUGAAAUCUUCGACGGAGUUUGGAGCAGCUGCUCCACCAUAUUAAACUCACUCUUCUUAAUCAAUCUUAACACUUCAUCCUCAUCAUUAGGCUUUAGUUUGUUGGAUUCACCAGACUGGCACACUGGAGCACUAACCAGAUUUACCACAAGCACAUCAACCUUCUUACUGACUGCAGCCUCUUCUACCUCCUUCGGAAAGACCGGACCGAAGACACGACCACUACGGUUCACCUUUGUAAUGUCAGUUAUAUUCACCACAAAAUUUGCUAUAGGAAACAUAACCUCUUGACCAUUCUCCACCAUUGUAGCAUUAUACUGAUAAGGCACAAAUUUAUCGGAUGCAUACGGGACGGGGCCCGCUAACUGUAUUACCAAUGAUGAUACCGAUCUAUUGAUGAUGUUACUACUGCUACUAUCAAAUUGAAUUACUACCCGCUCAGGGGUCUUGAACACAGGAACAAUUACAUUUACAUUAUCUCCCAAGUGACGGGACUGGAAAAUUCGAAUAAGACCUUCAUCCAUUAACCUCUGAAUAUCCCUCUUGACAAUGACACAUCCUUGAGGGUUCACAUUACAGAUUGCACAACCAUCAUAGUCAUGCUCACAUUUAUUAACCAGACAAAUAUCCUUAUGCAUUCUCACUAAGGAUCUUCUGAUAAAGCGUACGUCAUAAAUCUUGAACUUUCUAGGACAACCAUCUACCAUGUUGACUGAAGCAUUACCAUGAGUAGGUAGAGGAUUAUCUUUCACAUUCGGCUCACGGUCCUCAAAGGACACCAUCCCACUCUUCACAAGCUGUUGUACCUCAUAUUUUAAUGGGUAGCAGUUCUCGAUGUCAUGGCCAGGGGCUCCCUUGUGAAAGGCGCAAUGGAGUUCAUGUUUGAACCACCAUGGAAGUGGCUCGUGGAUUUGUGGUGGAUUUCUUGGUUGGAGUAGGUUCUUGAGAACCAAAGAUGGAUAUAAUUCUACGUAGGACAUAGGAAUUGGGUCAAAAGAGACCUUCUUCCUCUCAAAACUUUGUUGUUGAUUAUUGUUGUUGUUGUUGUAGUUCGUCCUUUGUUGCGGUUGUUGUUGACGUUGUUGUUAUUGAAUUGGAACAAAUUGAUUGUUAGAAUUGUUGGAAAAAACUGGAAUUACUGAUCAAACUUGAUGUUGAUGCUGACGCGGUUGAGGAUUCCUUCUGACAAGAGGCCUUAUCUGCCUCCCUACAGAUACUGAAUUGGUCUCCCAUUCCUUCCUUUUGGCAAAACCACUUCCAUAUUUCUUACUGGACGACACCUCUUCCUUAAAUAGAUGUCCUUCACGGACUCCCUCCUCUAACCUCAUCCCCAUGUUUACCAUUUCAGUAAAGUCACUGGGGGCACUGGAAAUCAUGCGUUCGUAAUAAAACAAACUAAGGGUCUUCAGGAAAAUCUUUGCCAUCUCAUUCUCUUCCAACGGAGGAUUAAUCUGAGCAACAAGUUCCCGCCACCUCUGAGCAUACUCUUUAAACGUCUUUUUAUCCUUUUGAGACAUAGACCUCAACUGCUCUCUAUCAGGCGCCAUAUCCAUAUUAUACUUGUACUGCUUCACAAAAGCUGCACCAAAAUCGUUGAAAGUACGAACACUUGCACUGUCUAGCCCUAUAUACCAUUUUAGAGCAGCACUAGUCAAACUGUCUUGAAAGUAGUGAAUCAGCAAUUGAUCAUUAUGAGUUUGAGUUGACAUUUUUCUGGCGUACAUAACAAGGUGGCUGAGCGGACAAGUAUUUCCCUUAUACUUUUCAAAGUUAGGGACUCUGAACUUCAUCAGGAUCUUUACAUUCAGUAAUAAGCAGAGUUCAACUGCACUCUUACCAAACAAGUCUUUUCCUCUCAACGUUUUCAAUUCCUUGCGCAGCUCAAAGAACUGAUCCUUCAUCUCAUCCAUCUUCUCAUAAACGUCUGGGCCCUCAGAUGGAUUAUAAUGGUAAAUGGUGUGCUCAACACGAGGCAAGGUAUGAAUAAUUGGAGGUGGCACAAACAUGACCGGGACAGAUGCCAGCAUAAAAGCCAAGGUAGGCGCCAACCUUUCAGGCAUGAAAUUUGGUGGCAUCCCCCAUAGGAAUCCAGCAGGAAUAGACGGACCGGAUUGAGUAGCAGCAAUAGGAACGGUCGAGGUAGCAACCGAGGAGAUGACAGUCCUCUGGGGAGGAGUUGCGGGAGUUGGUGAAGACUGAUUUUGCGCAACAAGGACAUACUCCAUCAUAGCGGUCAACUUUGCAAUCUCAUCCUUCAACUCUCUGUUCUCUUGUUCCAAAUGUUCCAUAAUUCUGGGUUGAUUGGCGCGAGUGUUGUAUCGGUGAGUCAGCUUGGCUAAAGCACAGAAGAAUAACCGAUAAGACAUAUGGCAGAAGAAAACCUAUUAUGCAAAUGAUGCAUGAAAUGCAAUGUUUUUGUUUGUUUAAAUUUCAAGGAACAUACUAUUUUAUUUGCAAGUAUAUAAUAAUAAUAACAAUUUUGACCAUAAACAUCUCUUUUAUUCAUAGAAUUUGGAAGGAUUACACUGAGUACAAUUUCAAAAACCAAAGUACGAAUACAAGAGAAAAGGAAACUAAUCAUCCAAAGGAUCCCUUAGCAACAAUGUCAGAUGAUCUGGUUGUGGGUGCGUACUUCCUUCGGAUGCGUCGAAUCUCGGUCUCAAAAGAUGUCUUCAUUUCAGCCUUCUCAAGGACGAGCUGAUCAACAAUCUCCUUCCUAGCAUUGGAAGGCUGAGGCAUACUAGAGGAAGAUGAACCCACUGGCUCUCUCUGUCUCUUCACUGCUCGGUCUUCAAGAAGUUCAAUAAGCGGAUCUUUGUCCUUUGAAUCAAGCUACAACUCCUCAUGCUUUUGGCUCAAAGCACAUAACCUAUCUUCCCACAUAUCCUUCUCUUGCUUCAUCUUGAUGAGUGCGUCUUCAAACUCCUCUACAUCUUGGUUAGGGAGAGUUGAUGGCUCAGUCAUAACCAAAGACAUAGGUCUCUCGCAAGCAUACGACCUCUUCAACUCCAAAGCUCUCUUCUUCACCCAAGUAGUAUAAGCUUCCAAAGCUACACAGUUGCACAGACCAAGCUUGGAUCUUCCUUACCUAUGCACAUUAUGCCAAGCAUGUAUCAUCUUAUGCUUCAAAUGUUGAGGUUCUUUACCCUCUUGAUAGAAAAGACCUUCUAACUGAGUGUUAUUAGGUUUGUCUCUCAAGGGGAACCCAAGUUGACGACGAGCCAAAACAGGGUUGUAGUUGAUUCCUCCUUUUGUACCAAUGAGAGGCACAUUAGAGAAUUCACCAAAACUAUCAAUAAUAUCCAAGAUACCCAAUUUAGAAUCAUACCAAACAAUAUCAUCAUUAGUAAGAGUCAUAAGUAUCUAGGACCACCGUAGACAUUGUUUGUUCUCUAUAAAAGCAGGAGUCUGAGGCAAGUGCGAAAUAAACCACUUGUAUAGAAGAGGAGCACAACACACAAUAUUCCCACCACCUUUAGAAUUCCUCAAAUGAAAAGAGAAAUACAUAUCAACCCAAACAUUCCUACUUUCUUCACCCAAUGAGCCUUAAUUUCAGACUUCUUCAGAUGAAGAGCUUCAGCUAUAACAUGAGAUCUAGAAAUCUCUUCCAAUCCACUAAAAGGAACCUUGUCAGAUACGGGUAUUCCCAAGAGAUGGGCAUACUCCUCUAACGUAGGCAUAAACUGAUAAUCGGGAAAAGUGAAGCAAGGGUAGAUAGGAUCAUAAAACUGAACCAAUACACUCAAGAGUCCUUCAACCACAUCGGCAGAUAACACAGAUAGAAGCUUCCCAUGACGUUGCUUUAAGUCCAAGGGAUCUAAUACAAAGGAUGAUAACUUCCUUAGCUCUUUCAAAUCAGGAUAUCUGAAACUGUACUUCUUAGUGUUCCUUAGUCCAUAAUGCAUGGUCUGAAAAUAUUUACAAAUAAAACCUCAGUUCCUUGAAGUUAUUUUCGUGUGAUGAAUGUUAUAAUGCGCAUGAAUGCAUGAAUGAAAUAAUCACAAACAAGGGAUCACACACAAGGCAAACAAACAAAGGUCAAUGGAUGGAUCAAGUCAUUGUCAAGAUCAAUCAUUCAUUUUGGUGGAUUAUGGUUUUCACCUUAUCAACACCCAAGUUCCAUCGAUAUUGACAAGACUUGAUCAGAUCAACCAAGAACCAAAGGGUUUGUUGUGAGUCACGAGCAUGGGUUCAGGUUAAGAACCAUCCCAAAGGAGUGUACUAAGGAUAAAAAACCUGUAGAUCAUGUUUUAAAAAGUUCCCAGAGUCUUAAUUCCAUCUAUUGGAUAUUAUAGGUUAGGAUGACUGACCCAUCAACCCAUAAUAUUCUCAAGAGAAACUCGUCUGAGUGUAGUAUCGUGUAACAACUGUUAUCAAGUCUACACUUGAGCAGUCUCCGCACUACGUCCUAAAUAGGCCAAGUUGGGUUAGAUGUUCUAUGGUUCUCAAUUUCUCGAACCCCAAAUCAGAUAAAGUAAUGCCUAACCACAAAUGACUUGUGUGACAUUAGUAACUCCAAAAGGGUCUCCACUAAGUAGAUGGUUCUCAAGCCAACUUGUUAAGGACUACUCCACACAAGUCGAACAUGACUAUACCAUCCUCAUAUCUUAAUUGCACUCAAGUUCGGUUUAGAACUUAUAUCACCACUCAGAGAUCACCAAGCACAACAAGCAUAUUAUAUCACACAAACAAGUAUACAAACAUCAAAUAUAUAAUUAUAUACACAUAAAAAAGUAGGCUAAACCCACUGAGGACUACUCCCCAGCAGAGUCGCCAAUUUCUGUAGCGGUAAAUUCAUGACCAUUAAGCUAUGGAUAAACUUAACGUCAAUAAAACCAGAGUCGCCACUGCACUUUUAUUAUUUCCAAAGGAAAAGGGAAAAGUACGGACAAAACCCAAAGAUAAUAAGUUUUCAAAUCAAAACUAAUAAAAUGCCAGAGAUUACAGGUAAGGGGGUUGGUUACACAGAGGGAAUGUGUUAGCACCCAAAGUGUCCUAGGUACUCCUAGGGAGCCUUUUUUAAUGUGUGUAUGUGUUUUUGGUACAAAAGAUGUUUGAGAAAAAUAGAGUGUGGGGAUGAGAAAAGAAUUCAUUGAUUAUUUUUUUGUGUUUGACAAGACCUUCGGACUUGUGCCUACGUACCAACAUGAAAAUGAAGGAUCAAAACCUCGUAGUUCAUGGUAUCAAUUUCAAAAUGAGUGGAUUGCUUUUAAUCAAAAGUUUAAGUUUAAAGACGCACAAAGGGCCUAAAGUUUGAAUGGGUGUUAGUUCUUUUUGUCUUUUGAAAUUUUAAGUCAAUAUGAUUAGGUUUAUUUAUAAGUUUGAUUUAAGAAAAGAGUUUAAAAAUUCAUUGGCAUAAGGCCAAAGUUUCUAUUUUUGAAAUAAAGUCUAUGUUUUGAAAUCACAAGCAAAUAAAGUUUUUGAAAAAGGGGGAGAGAUUUUGAAAUUUAAAAAGUGGGAGGAGAUGAAAGGACUAAUCCUAAGCAUAAAAUUUAAAGUUAAGAGUUGAAAAGAUCUGACCAAUGAGAUGCAAUCCAACAGACAAGAAUGUCAUAUAGAAAACCCACUUUCCCUUUGGACUUUGAAUCAAGCAAUUACCAACAAGCAGUAGCAAUACCAAACAUCUUGAAGAUCAAGGCAUCAAAUAAAGAUGGCCACAUCCAAGCAAGCAAAUCCCAUAGCUAGCAGUCUUCUUUGUCUUCUCAUGUAUCAGAUGAGAUACUCCUUGAUUAACUCAGAAUAAAGCAUUAGACAUAAGAUCAAAACAACAGUUGCAUCAAGACCAUGUAGCAGGUGAAUUCAAGUGGAUCCCAAUAGUUGCAUCAUAUGAAAGCUCAAUUCUCAAUAACUUGGUCUCAAAAUGUUGACAUUGGCCAAGCCCUUUUGCAUAUGGAACGUUGCCUAAUCCUAAGUCCAAAAGUUCAGAUCAAGCCCAUUAGUCCACAAAACAUUUUUUUAGGGUUUUUGUUGCUUAUUAAGUAUUUUAAGGUCCUAAGACUACAAACACAAACAAAAUAUACAAAAAAAUAUUUACAAUCACAAUAUAUGGCUCAAAUAAGCAAAGUGAAAAUGACAUAAACAUAAACAAGUUUAAUGAUAUGUAAAUGACAAUGAAUGGUAAAUGACUAGAAUAUAAAUUACAUAAAUAUAAAUGACUUGAAAGUAAAGCAAUAUUAAUGACAAAUUAGUCAAAUGUUAGUUAAUUAGAUGUUAGUGAUGUUUUGCUUUUCAAUUGUAUAAGUCAUUCUUUGGAGAACACUCAACCAUCUAUUCACAAGCAUGAAUCCUUGAACCAAGACAUCUUCCAAAGGAAGUAAAAAAGGCUAAGUUUCCACAUAAUACCAUGAAAUAUGGGAGACUUACAAUCUCACUUACUAGAAUGCUAUGCCUUUAGGGUCAAAUUUAGCUCUAUGUUAAGCAAUCGUAAUUGGACUUAUGUAGAAGUCACAACUUCACAUAAUACCAUGAAAUAUGGGAGACUUACAAUCUCACUUACUAGAAUGCUAUGCCUUUAGGGUCAAAUUUAGCUCUAUGUUAAGCAAUCGUAAUUGGACUUAUGUAGAAGUCACAACUAUCUGAGACUGAAUAAUAAAAAUUUAGGUGUUAAUGCAUGUUAGAGAUUUGGUAUAAUAAAACAAACUCCUAAAAUAUACCACACACUAAAAGAAAAAGAUCAAAGGAUGAACCUAUCUCAUCCAUACUUGUAUUGGUUCAUCUAACACAAAAUUAUUGAUGGACCAAUUAGCCUUAGGAUUCUUGAGAUUUUAUUGGUCAAUGAAAGGGAUGGGAAAGAAUGGGAUUGAACAUGAAGAGGGAUGGAAGAUGAGAGAAACACAAAUUGGUCAAGGGAGGAAUUUUAUCAAAUUAAAAUCAUUCAUUCAUUUUGGGAGAUGAAAUGUACAUUUCAUCAAUCCCCUAAAUCCAAUGAUUUCAAACUUAAUAAAAGUCAAAUCAACCUUGACCAAGGCCCAAACACAUAGUCUAACAUCACAAGUCAAUGAAAAAUGGCUCAACAUAAUUUUUAUACAAUUAAUCAAUUAAAAAAUCAAAUUAAAAUGCAUUAAAAUUCAAUUUAGUUUGGUCAAAACCUAAAACCUCUCCAAAACACCCAAUAAAUAGCCAAGAGAUUUAUCCUAGGUCAAACAAGGUCAAAGGACCUUAGACAAAAAAUUUCAUGAUUUUUGAAAAGUCAGAAGUAUUUUUAAACAAUUAAAAUUAUGCAUAAAAACAAUUAAUUCAGGAAAAAUAUCAAAAUUAACCCAAAAAAUAAUUUUAAUUCUGAAAAUGAAAGAGGAAAGUAUUUAAAGAUUUUUGGUGAAAGUCCCAUAUUUUUUGGAUUAAAAAUGAAAUUCAUGUGAAUUAAUCAAAAUAAAUGGAUUAAACAUAAAAUCAGAAAUUAAAAUAAAAUUGAAAAAAACAAGGGCCAUGAGAUCUCCCUCAUUAAUUGAGGUGGUAGAUCUGAUGGCCACUCGCGUGCUAUCCACGAUGCACCAAGUCAAACAUAUCACAUCAAUGAUAAUCAGAACCAAGGGCUAAGAUUAAAACAUUUUGAAUGAAUCUGAUGGUUGAUAGGCGUGAUAACACACCACCGGAGCUAGGGCUCCGGUCUUCUUCUCCGAUGGACCUCACCGGAGUGGUCCACCAUCAAGCAUCACUAAAAUAAAAAACAAUGACAUGGAUUCAAAGAAAAAAUGCUCAGGAGCUCGAAUCUAACCUCAAUUUUCUCCAAUUCCAAGUAUAUAAAAAGAUACAGGGAUUUGAAUUUUGAGGAUGAUGAAAUGAGUUACUUCGAUUUGACCUCAAAGCAACUCAAUCUUCUCGCCUACCUUGAUAGGACUUCAACCAACCAAAAAUCACAAAGAAUAGUGAAGAAUUGAGGGAGAAUCGAAGAGAUGAAAAUUCUGGAAAAUUACCUUCGAGGGAGCUUCAACCUUGCUCGAUCUUGAUUCCAAUUGUGCUUGGCUUUGUUUCAGAAGCUUGUAGGAAGUGAUUAAGAUCAGAAAAUGGCUUAGACUCUUAGAGUUUCAAUCUCAAAACAGAAUGAUAUUUGAAUCUUAAUUUUCAAAUGAAAACCUUCAAGAUUAUCCUUUAAUGGUGAGGGUUUAGAUUAUAGGUUCAAAACUUGGGCAUGAGGUCCUUAAUUCUGAGAAAUGGAGGUUAUAUUUAUAGCCAAAGAGAUUUAUUUCCACACACUUCCAAAAAUUUCCAAUUUUAGAAAUUCACCUUGCAUGCUUGUGUUUGAAUCAUGCUGAAAUCAUGUCACGUGGUCAUGCAUUUGUGUUUGAAAUAUGGAAGUCAAAAUCAUCCAAAUGGUAUCUCAUAUUGCACCCACGCACAAGUCCUUCAUUCUUUGGCCAAAUGAGAUGAUCCUGGACUUUUUAGAAAGGUGAGAUCAAGGGGAACAACUUUCUUGUGGAACACGUUUUCAUUUGAAUCUUGGAUCAUGAUGAAUUUUGAGGUGGAAGUUUGGGAAAUCAAAUAUAUUUGAAAAUUUUCUAAGUACCAAGUCAAAUGUUCAUUUCUUCCAUCUUAAAUAACUUUUUCUAUGGACUUCAAAUGGAAAAGUUUCCUUCAUAAAAGUUAUAUAUCUUUCAAACAUAUUCAAUUUGGUCUCAAAGUUGACCUCAUUUGGUUUUGGAACAAAGGAGUUAUGCAUUUUAGAAGUUGAGGAAAAUCACUUGUUCAAUGGUAAUGGCCCAAAAUGCCCUAUAAUGUUUCCUCUUGGCACAUGCAUUUUCAAGUUGAAUUUGAACUUCCUCUAAAAUAAAAGUUGAAUUAGAGAUAUUUAAUUUUAUCAUGGAAUUUGAAUAACUUUUAUAUCAUAAAAAUUGAGCAAGUUAUGGCUUGGGAAGUUGACCUCCAAACUAGGGUUCAAACAAAAUGACCUAUAAUCUUUCACCAUAAAAAAUGACUUUCCAAGCAAAAAUAACUCUUGACUUAAACAUGAAAGUUGUUUGUAAUGUCAUUUGGAGUUAUGUUUCUCUUAUAAUCAUUUUUAUAUGACAAAAAUUGUAGGAUAUAGGGUCUAGGGAACCCUAGUUUUGACUAGUUGACUUUCUCUGGUCAACCACCAUGAACCAUCUUGCUAGCUUGAUAUUCUCUUGAAUUUUGGGACUCAUGGAGGAUAAUAUAUGUGUAGGAGGAUAUAAUAUGAAGUAUCCCUUGAAAUGUUUGAUCAAUUGUUGAAGAAACUUGUUGAGGAAGUCACACAAGAUACCCAAAUGAAUUAGGGCUUCCAAGGCAAACAAGCUUUAAACUCUUGAUGAAUUCUUGAUCAAAAUAAUAUGUGAAGACCAUGGGGAUCCAUAUAUGACUCCUAGAACUAGUGUGAACCAUUUCUUGAUUGAACUCCUUGCAUUGAGGGUCUCAAACCCUAGAUAUGAGCUUGAUAUAGCAUAUGUGAGCAUACACACUACCUACCAAAGAAACAAAGCUAUACAUAGACAUAUUUUUGGUAUUUUUGUUAGUAAAUAAUGAAAAACAAAGUAUGAUACAAUCAAAAUGUGCUUGGUGAUCUCUCCCAAUGCAAACCCAAUGGAUGAGGGGUAAGGAGAAUGCCAAGGUGCGAUUCCAAUGCUAAUGCAUAUGAUGAGAUAACAUGAGGGAUCUUAGGGUCAAAAUUAGGGUCUUACAAUUAUCAUCACAAAAUCCAAACUUUCCUAGCCGUUGAUAGGGAUUGUCAUUGUUAAUCUUUAAACCGUACCAUAUGUUGCUAGGGAUUGUCAUUCAAUCCAAAUCUUCCUAAUCGUUGCUAGGGAUACCCAUUACCCUUUGUAUUGAGAGGUUAUUAAUUUUCUUCUUAACCUUUUAUUAAGAAGUUCUCACUGUCUUUUGCAUGAGAAUUUCAGGUCUUCCCUAUCGUUUCUAGGGUUUUUCAUUGAAAAUUUCAGAUCUUCCCAGUCGUUGUUAGGGACUGUCAUUGAAUUUAAGUCUUCCUAGCCGUUGCUAGGGAUUCUCAACAAAACUCAAAUCCAUCUCAGCCGCUGCUAGGGAAUCUCAUUGCCUUUUGUAUUGAGAACAUCAUCACCUUGUCUUAUUAACCUUUUGUUAAGGAGCUCUCGUUUCCUUUUGCAUGAGAAGUUAAAUUUCAGACCUUGAUUCCCAACCGUUGCUAGGGAUUUUCAUAGUUAAAUUUUAAACCUUCCCAACUGUUGCUAAGGGUUGUCAUCUUUGAAUUAAAACCUUCAUAGCCUUUGCUAUGGAUUCUCAGCAAAUCUUAAAUCUUCUCAGUCAUUGCUAGGGAUUGUCAGCAAAUCUCAAACCUUCCCAACCAUUGCUAGGGAUUGCCAUCAUCGAGUUCAAAUCUUCCCAGUCGUUGCUAGGGAUUGUCAGCAAAUCUCAAACCUUCCUAGUUGUUGCUAGGGAUUGUCGUUGAAUCUCAAACCUUCCCAGUCAUUAAUAGGGAUUCCCAUCAUUGAGUUCAAAUCUUCCCAGACGUUGUUAGGGAAUGUUACCAAAUUUCAAACCUUCCCAGCCGUUGCUAGGGACUUUCAUUCAUCUUUUGUUGCAUUUCAAAUCUUCCCAGUCGUUGCUAGGGGAUUUUCAUUGUCCUUUUGUAUUGAGAAAACAUUUAUUCAACCCUUUUUUUCUUUUAUUAACCUUUUGUUAAGAUAUUGUUAAUCGGCUUUUCGUUAAGAUUUUCAUCAUUUUUUGUAUGAGAAACUUAUCCCCAGCAAAGUCGUUAUUCCCCCUUACCUUGCUCCUGGACCUUUUGUAGCAGGAAAUCUUUUCACUCACCAUAUUUUUCUCAUUGCUUUGUGAAUAAAGGACCUUGAUCCCCAGUGAAGUUGUGUUUUCCUUUUGCAAGACAUCUCUGUGACUUUUGCAGAAGAACUCAAGUUAUAAUUGCACCCUUUUUAUUUGCAUUUUGAAAAUGCAAUAAAUCUCGGGGAUCCUGCAUGGAUGUAUCAAGUACCAGUACCGAAAAGGCCCAUCAUUUGAAGAGAUACUGAUACAAUAUCAUGGUAUGCACAUUGUAUAUCAUUUCCUCAUUUUCAUACCUGCCCUGUUUCAUAUAGCAUAAUACUAUAUUCAAUCCACAACAAAUGGUUUCAUAUUAAAGCAUGUUUGCAGUCCCAUAAAAACUUUCUCACAAAUGCCCAUCUCAUAUCACCUUCAUUCCCAGUAGGGAUUUUUUUUGGAUAUUUUUGUAUUUAAUCCUCUCCUACCUCAAAUGUGUGAAAGUCAUUGCUAUCCAUACAUUCAGGUCGAAGAAGAUUUAGUAGGGGCGACUGUCAUACCCCAAAUUUACCAUACCUUCUACACAACUUCCAUGGCCUUAAUGCAUAGCCAUACAUUCCCCAACUCAUCACCUCAUAUGCAUUUGCGUUCAUAACAAGAGAUCAUGUUAUAUGGACUCAAGAAUGAUGUUCAUAUAUGAGGAUCACCAAGAUCUCUUUAUCAUGUUGGGAUAUGCUUAAUCUACCAUACACCCUAAUUUUCAGCUUCAAGCACUAUUUGACCUUGUAAGAUUGCAUAAGCCACCCAUUCACUUCUAAAACCCUAAUUGAAGGGUGAAUAAUGAUUGGAAGCGUUGUUUGUUCAUCUGGUCAUCCAUGUGCCUUAACCCUAAUUCUUUGAUCCUCUAUGACUUACCCAAGUCAUUAUUUGGAUGUGUGUCUUGUGCUUUGACCUUGGCCUUGAAGGAAACCCUAAUCCCCUACCUUGGGUAUGCUUGAACCUUGUGAAUCUAUAUCAUGAUACCUCAUGCACACCUAAACCCUAGUUUGUAUGGUUUUGGUUCUUAAUCGACCUUUUGACCCAAGAAACCCUAGUUAGGGGUGCUCAUCAUUGGUGGUCCAUCCGAUUACUUCUCUAGGCUUAAAGCCCUCUCAUAUGAGGUAUUGCCUUGGGGAUUGCUUGUUGGAUGUACCCUAAAACCCUAGUUGUGCCCUUAUGCUUCCAUGCUUUGAUUUGAUAACUGAAACCCUAUUUCAUGGAGUUUGUACUUGGUCAUCUCAUCAUACAUUUUCCUUCAAUCAUCCGCCUAAAUUCCCUUUCUUAGUUGUUUGAUCUUGGUCUAUAUAAGUUUGCUUGUGAUCCCUAGUUGGGGAUGCAUUUCAUUGGUCAUUUCUUGUUGAUUUGAUUCAUGAUCCUUUAGUCUAUUUACAUUUAUUCAAGUUUAUUUCAUUCAUCAUUCAUACAAGAGGUGCAUAAGAUCAAUUUUGGCCAAAGCUUGACUUUGGUCAACACUUGACUUUUUGGUCAACUUUGACCAAAGUAAACACAUCCUUUUAAAGAUCCCAUUUUAAUUCAAUAUUCAUACAUACAUUCAUUUUAAGAUCAUCCCAUGUAUAAGCAUAUCAUUCAUAAAAGAAAAUAUAAAAAAAUUAACUUUGGCCAAAGGUUGAAUUUGGUCAACAAUUGACAUUUUGGACAACUUUUACCAAAGCCAACACAUCUCUCUAAGAGACCUAGCAUUCAUAAAUUUCAUCCAUUUUAUGACAAAAUCAAAGUAAAUAAUGAUUGAAGUUUUGAUUCAAUUUGAAUUAAAAGGUUUCUUGCAUUACAAGUAUAAGCAUAAGUUCAUAAGCUUACAUUUUACAAACAAGCAUUACAUCACUAAACUACCUAGAAUCAAUGUAUUUUUGAACCAAAGUGCCAAGAAGAACCAAGGUUCUCAUGGUAGCCCACCCUUGUCCUUAUGCCAUAUAAAUGUUCCACAUACCUCCACCCUUUGGUCAAACCCAAAUUGCAGCACCUUGUACACAAUAACGAGCAACCAAAACAAGCAUGCAACAAAGCUUACCAACACUAUGAACAUCAGGUCAAUAGCUGCAACAACAAUUUCUAAACCAUGGCAUACCAUGCCAAUAAGCAUGCACAUCCAAGCUACUCGAGGCAAUACAAUCCAACAAACUGCAAGAUAUCAUAACAUAUCAGCUCAUGGCCAAUAUCCUUCAUCAGUCCAAAUGCAGCUUGUAUCAAAGCAUCCAAAUCCUGUAUAAAUUCCAAAUUUCCUGCAUCAAAACAGACACAACAAUAAUUCACAACAUCGUGUCAAUAAUCCUGCACCAUAAAACAUCACAAAGUCAUGACAAUCUACAUCAAGCUGCAACAAUGCGUCACAAAACUCACAUGAACAAUUGUGAGGGAAAAUAUGCCUAGUCCUUAUUUUAAUGAUGUCAAACCUCUCUAGUCGCCCACAACAUGUCUUUGGAUAAUAUCAUCAUAGCAUAAAAUGCAUUCAUGCUUUAACAUGUUCAAAAUAUAGGUUUAAUGUGUCUAAGCAUAUAGGAGCAUAUCUUAUAUGUGAUUCAUGCACUUAAUCAUAGUAAAUAUCCUAGGUUCAUAGGAGAUCGGUUUAAAUUGGUCAUAAUACAUUGCAAAACUCAUUUUGGAAGUUUAAGCUUUGUGAGUCGACUCAUGACUCGGAGCAAAACCUUCAGUCCGAACAGGUCGAGUCACAGGUUGACUCAUUCCUGGAAAACCUGAAUGAGUCGACUCAUCCACUCCUUACGUCGACUCAUUUCCCACUUUCAUUUGAACCAUAUUGCCACGGGUCCGAACAGGCCGAGUCAUAGGUCGACUCAACCCUGAAAUAAACUUUGUUUGAGUCGACUCAUCGCCUAUUUUACUUAAUUUUAUGCUGUGUAACUUUGCAAAAUAUUUCUGUUAUGUUAGUUAUUUUUCCAUGCAUCAUAUAAAUAUUCAAAUGUCCCUUCUUCAGCAAAUUAACAAGAAGACUGAAAGAUAUACACCAAAGUGCUCAUCAUCUUCAUUCUUCAUUGCGUUUCUCAAUAAUCACACAUAAUAAUCUUUGUUGAGCAUUGUGCAUUGCAACUGUGAUAACGUUCAAAUAAGACUGGAUUUCCUUAGUUUGGGUUGAGACUUUGUGUGGGUUUUUCUUGAAUAAAACCCUUGAGGUUUUGUCCUCCAAGAAUUGGGGUUUUUUGCACUAACCUUUGCUUCGCAGAUUCAGCCGAGUGAAAAGUUUAAAGAACGAAAGGUUCGGUCAAAUAAGUAGCGUAAAUGGAGGAUUGUGAAGAAAGCUUAGGGAUCAAGUGACUUGCGUUCGAAAUCAGCUGAGCUGAAGUUUUGCAGAACGUGGCAUUCUUGCAAUAAGGUAGCGGUAACCAGAGGUUUGUUCGAAGUGCUUGGAGGACUUGGUUUAACUCGAAUCAAGGGGAGAGAAUAGAAUAGGAUCUGCAACAACUCUAGGGGUUGAUUGGUGGUGAUCAUUUGUUCUCUUGUAUUGACUUUGCAACGUGUUAAUAAAAACAUCUCAAUUCUAGAUUUAGAAUUGAGGGUAGACGUACCCUAAGCGAGGACGAUAGGGGAACCACGUCAACAAAUCCGGUCUUGUUCUAUCUAUCUCUUAACUCUUUAAAUUAUGCAUUAAUUACGUUUUGUAUGAAAUUAAUCGUAAAAUCAAUAUUGCUUGAUUUGUAUGCAUAGCAAUUGUUUCAUAAAUUGUUGCAAUCACUUUGAUUGCAACUGAGUAAAAUUCUGCACAUUCAAUUUGAGUCAAAUUGAAACUUGGUGUGAAGUGCACACCAAGUUUUCGAUAAAAUUAAUCUCGCAUAAACUUAGUAAUAUUUUCCUUGAUCUCUUAUUGUGUUAAACAUUAUAAUAGAUAACGAUAUCAAGGAUCAUAGUGGUUAAUCGAUUGAUUUAGAUAGGGAUUGAUAUUCUCUAUCUUAAGUAAUUCCAUUCGGUUCCACGUAUAUCCAAUCUUUCCAUUAACGGAUAGUUUAGACGAUUACUAUCUAGGGUGCUUCUGCAACCGUUGAAAACUUUAAAAAGCGCAAAAUUUCAAAAUUGAUCUAUUCAACCCCCCCUUCUAGAUCAGUACUAUCGUCUAACAACAAUAACCUGCCAAACCAGUCCAACAACAAAGCUAGCAAAUGGUUUACCUCACAUUCAAAUGCAGCCGAUAAUUCAAGCAUAGCUAGGGAAAUGUUCAAAAUCAUCCAUACCUACAGCAAACUAUAUCAUUCUUGAGAAAUCGUGCAACAAACACAUAAAAACCAACUUGCAUCAGUCUAACACAAAACCUUAUAGCAAGAAUAAUCAUGACUACAUAAUGCAAAGCCUUACCAAACAGACCUUACAUCAAAAACCUUUCCUACAACAAAUGAGCCAGAAACCUGCACACAACAUCGUUACAUCAAUAAAAACCAUCAUUACAUUACCCUUGCAACAUAAAUGGACAUGAACACAACAUGCUUGCAUUAGACCCUGUAGCAAACCAUUGAGAUUUAAAUACACCAAAUCAAUAACAACCAUGACAAGUGAGCAUGCAGCAUUCCAGACCUAGUAUAAACCAGAUACCUGCCUAUAACAUGAAGACCAUUGAACCUGUAACAAACUUGCAACAUUCAACCUAUAACAGAUGACAUUCAAUCCAAAUCAUAAACCUACAUCAGUCCAAAUAACAACAAGCAUCAAGGCAAUGUGGUAACUCAAUGCAGCAAGCUUCAAACCACAUCAGCAACACACUAAUUCCAAACAAACUGCUACAUAACCAUGACAACCAAAGCAUCAAGCAAACCAACUGCAGCAGGCCAUAAACCUGUAAUUCAAGGAAAAAAAACCUAUAAGCAUCAUCAACAUAGCAAACCUACAAACAUCAAAAUCAGUUCCAUGCCAAGCCCGGUAACAAUCAUUUACAUAACCUCAUCAUAUCCUGCAUCAAUGCAUACAAGGACACAUUAAUCCAUAGAGUUUCACAAUAAAUCAUGAGUCAUACAUUCAAACAAGUUUAUUCAUUUUUACCGCAGUAAAAAAAGUAAUAAUCCAAUGCACUAAAAACACAACAAUCCAAAAAGCCAAGCCAAGCAAACAAAGGUACAAGGUUGCAGAUACACUUUUCAGAAAUAAAUCACACAAUUGAGCAAACAUGGUCAGCAACCUACCUUCACACCAAUUCCACUAUUCUCCUUUACCAUCAUUUAAUUAGAAAACACACUAAACCCUAAUUACAUUCCACUAUAAAAGAAAACAUUCAGAAUAAGCAAAGGGGUUGAAGAUAUGUGAAAAAACCUAGGAUUCAAGCCACCCUCACUAUAACUCAACCACCCAGUCCUAAUAUUCACUUGUUUUCAGAAACAGAAGAAGAAAAAACAAACAUACAAAGAGUAUUAACCUAAAACAUUUGGUGUCGUUGCUCCGGUCUUCUUCUCUAACGAAGCAAUACCUUCAACUCAUCCAUUCUUCAAACCAAAGUUACCAGAAGAAAAAGCAUACUUUAUAGAUCAUUAACUCUCAACCAAUUUCUUGGGUUCGUGCACUACCACCAUUUAAUUUUUGUUUACAGCUUUAGAGUUCCUUUUGUUAUCUUCUUCGAUUCAUUCUUGUGUUUGAGAAUCAGAGGUCUUGGGCCAUGGAUUCAAAUUCAGUAGAGUGAGACGAGCGUUUUGGUUUAUUUGGUCUCUAGAUAGGAGCUUCGACGUGACGGAGCGGGAAAACUGGUUUAAAUUUUUUAAUGAGAAGGGAGAGCCUCUGAGUUUAUUUUCUAAACUCCCUCUCAUUUUUGUUUGGGUUGGGCUUUGCCUUGCAUUUCUUUCCACGCCACCGAAUUACCGCCUACACCCUCCUUGGAUUUUGAUGAAAAGAGCUAAUGGGCCCAAGCACUUAGGCCCUUGUGAUUUUGACCCUUUUCUUUAUUGUAGAUCCUAUUUAGGUCUCCCUCCUCCCCCAUUUUAUUUUUGUUUUCAUUUUUAUUUAUUUUUCUAUUUUCUUUAUUUCAUUUUCUUUUUUUUUACUUAGUUUCCCUUUUGAUCAACUUUUAAUUUUUAUCUCUUCAUUUAUUUUUUUUACUUAAUCUAUUUCUUUUUUAUCAUUUAUUUUUGUCAAUUUUUCCCUUUUAUUUGGUCAUGUGGUUUAUGAUAAACUUUUGAAUAAUUGACUAUUGAUCCUAAGGUUGAUUAAACCUUCAACACUUCAAACAUAUUGAUGAAUGAUCAAUGGAUUAUUCUUGACACUUUGAGGUGUUGAUAGGCUGCCAUUUGUUGAUCAUGUUUGAAUCUCUUGAUGAUAGAUGAGACAUUUAGUUGUUUGAGCAUUGCCUUUCCAUUUUUCAUUUGUGUUGCAUUGUUUCAAGAGACUAACUUUGUGUUAUACCUCCAACAUGCCUAGCACAUAUAUUAUUAUUGACCGACCUCAAAUAAGCAUGGCUUCUACAUAAGUCCAGUUAUGAUUGGUUAACAUAACGCUAAAGUAUCCUGACUUGAUUAAAUCUUUCAUUUUGAUCAUUGACCACUAACAUUUGGAAUUUAAUGUGUGACUUGUAUCUUAUCUGACUUUAAUUUGUGAUUACUUGGUGAUGAAAUCUUCCAUACUUCAAAUCAUUGAUAGCUGGAUGAUUCGGUUGAUUCAAUCUUCUUUGAUUCAAACAUGUUGAUAAAUGAUCAAUGAUUUUUUUGACACUUUGAAUCAAAGAUAGAUUAUCCCUUAGUGCACCAUAUUUUGAGUCCUUUAACUUGUGGAUAGAUUACCCCUAGGUGAUUACCUUGUGCAACUUAACCUCUAGCCACUGACUGUUAUCAUUAACCAUUGACUUGUUGACCUAAUUUUUCCAUUUAUUUCUUGUCAAUUUAUUUUCUUGUACUUUAUUCUCAUAUCCAUCAUCAUUGUAUCUAUCCCAUGUAUCUAUGUCUUAUUGUUAUUUAUUUAUCAUCAUUGCAUAAUCAAAAAGAACAAAAACAUGAUAAAAUCAAAAGACUAAAAAUUGCAUUCAUCUGUGACCCACUGUUGGACUUAGAGGACUCAUUAGGACAAUUGCACUUGAACCUUGGAUCAUGAUUCUUGACCCAUUGCUCUGAUUUGGAAUUUCAUCUGUGACUUGCAAUCACUUAUUAUAAGAAUGACAUUCAUGGUACUACCCUAGAGAGACAUGUUCUUAAGCCCAUUAUCCACUUGUUAGCAUAUGUCACUUUGCACACACAAGGUUUUCUCUUGGGCUACCUUAUAAUGAGACCCUUUAUUUCUUGCAUUUGUUUCCUUAUAAAUAUUUGUGUAUCACACCAUUUCAAAAUCAAUGAGCAAUAAACCCUUUAUCCAACGUCAAGCAGAAUUUUCAUAAUCAAAUUCAAAAAUACAAUAAAAAUAUGAUUAUAAUUGUGCGCCACGAGCCUUAAGUGAUGGAGAAUGAAUAAGAAUAGAGCUUUCCUACCCUUACUCUGAGUAUUUUGGACACAAGACGCUUGGCUUGUUUGUCUGAAACAUUCACCUCUGCCCAAAGUCUUUAUUGGAAUUCUAAUCAACAACCAUCUCUUUUCAAACCUUAUUUUUUCACCUUAGGGCAUCACUCUGAAAAUCCUUUUCACGGUAAAAAUAACCAUUUUCUACUCCAAACUACGGAGCUCUGAUUCUUCAUUCCCCGAUGAUGAUACGUAGGCACAAGGGCCUUAAUCCUUUGCGAGCACAAUAAUAAAAACCAAUCAUUUCCCUUUCGUCCCGAUAGCAGAUAAGCAUUAAGAUAAGAUAAACACCCACACACGUAGAUAACUUAAAUGGUUCCCAUUAAGUACGAUGAAUGUGAGAGGUGUUAAUACCUUCCCUUUGCAUAACCGACUUCCGAACCCUAAAUUUAGUUGCCAGACCAAAUCUUUUCUUUUCUUUUCUUUUCUUUUCUUUAAAGGGUUUUAUCGAUUAUUUUCCCUUUCCUCUCUUCUAUGGAAUAAAUAAAAUCCAAUGGCGACUCUGUGUCAGUCCGGUCAGCUUUUGCAUAACGAUAGAGUGUAGCCGUAAAGAUAUCAACUAGCUCAGUGUCAGACAAUAGAGGUCGAACACGUGCAACCAUUUCUCUCCACUUUUGAGCAUAUUCCUUAAAAGUCUCAUUUGUCCUAUAAGCCUAAUUCUGCAAUUGUAAUCUGGUAUGAGCCAUGUCUAGAUUAUAUUUUUACUGUUUCAAGAAAACUUCAGAAAGAUCCUUCCAGGACCAUAUCUUACUACGCUUCAGUCCCAUGUACCAGUCAAGUGAAGCCCCAGAUAGGCUAUCUUAAAAUUAAUGAAUGAGUAAGGCAUCACUUUCAAUGUAGGAAGCCAUCUUCCUGCAAUACAUCGUGAUAUGACUCCUCAGACAACUUAACCCUUUAUACUUCUAUAGAUCAGGCACAUUAAACUUUUGAGGUAAAACCACAUUUGGCACUAGACAUAACUCUUUUACAUCCAUAUUGUAUCUAGAGAACCCUUCAAUAGCUCUGAUGCAUUCAUCUAACAAUUGAUAGUCAACAGGCUUAUCGAAAAGAUUAUGAUUAGCAAACUGACCUUAAGAAUAAGCUUGAGAAGUGAGAAAUUGAGAAGCUUUUGGAGUAAUUUGAGCAGGAUCUUGAGGAAUACCAUACCGGGGAAUCUGAGUAGCAGCAAAUUGAGGAAACACUUGUGGAGGAUAUAUCAUACCAAUAUUAACCAUCUAUGUACCUGGAUUAGAAGUUUGAGGAUAUUGGACCCCAUGAUAAACAUAAGGAGCACAUGGUGCCCCAAGAUGAACAUGCUGAGGUGCAGCAUUGACUGACAGUUAUGGAACAACAUUGGUAGAAGAUGCCCAAGGAUAGACAUGAAGUAUUCUAGGGUAGACAGGAUGGAUACCUUGAUAGGGGUAUUGCAUAACAGGUUGAGUGAUCAUAGGAAUAUGCACAUGCAUGGGAUGACCUUUAUACUCAUGCUCAAUUUCAUUAGGUGCUUCAGCAGUCACAUGCACAUAGUUUUGACGAGGUUGGUCAUGAGGUACCUCGUGGUUAUUAACAUCUAUCACUUGAGUAGAGAGAUGGGGAGGCAUUCCCCGAGGAUAAGUAGAAGCACUUUCAUUAGCUAGAGGCACAUGCACUAGCUAGUAAGGCACAAAAACUCCCCCAUUGGUAACUUGAGAAUACAGUUCUAAGGCAUCCCUUAGGGAUAAGCAUCAGCAUGACCAUUAGGCCUCAAAAUAGAGCCUGAUUGAUUGGGAACAGGUUGAGCAACAAUCUCAGUUGGAGUCUCAAUGGCAACAGUUGCAAUAGUAAAGUCUUUCUGAGUAUGAAGGUACUCUAAAAUGGUGUCCAUCUUCCCCUAAAAUUGAUCCAUAUGUCCUUGGAACUAGCCCAAGGUCUCCUUGUAAGUGACAUUUUCCUACUCGAUGUCAACCAUAAUUUUUGGACGAUAGGCUCUGUUGAGAUAUUUGUGACGGUGAGUCAUCACUUUUUCUGGAUGGAUGAAGGAAGAUGGUAUGAGCAUUUUGUAUUUUUAUUUUGAAUAAAAUACAUGAAUGCAUGAAUGAAUGAAUGUAUGCAAAAAGAAAUAUUUCAUUUUCUAGAGAAUCCUGUUAUGAGUAAUCAUAAAGCAUGAAAAUAAAUCCAAAAGAUAAAGGAAGCUAUGAAAAAUAAUCAUUUAUUCAAUAGGGAAGAACAAGGAGUAUAAUUUAUUACAAGUCAAAAAUUUGCCUGAUGGGCUACAAGAAGAUCAACUUUAAAUCUCCCAAAUACCACCCUACAAACAGAUACAAAGUGAAAAACAACCCUAUGAAUGUUAUGUGGGAACACAUUAGCAUAAGCUUCCUUCAACAAAACUGGGAGAUAUUCCAUAACAUGAUCAACAAAUUUUGCUAGACAUGCAUGCCUUUCCCUCUAAUACUGAGCAUCUUUGAGGAGGUUGUGAAAUAAGGUAUGGUUAGGCCCAUGCAGGAGGCCUUGCAGAAAAACUUCCUUCUGAUUGAGGAGAACUUUGAGAUGACGGUUGUGUCUUUCCCAAUGAGAGACCUCUUGACUGAAAUGAUUAACAACUUCUUGACUCUGAUGCGCUUGACUUUUCAACUCUCUGAUUUUUUCAAAACUCUCAUCAAGAUCACACUGACAUUGAGAGAGAGAAGCUUCCAACUUUUCAGCAUGGUCUUGUUCUUUCUUCAACUCUUUCUUGCAACCCUUCAGUUGGUCUUGAAGUUCUUGGAGUUAGGUCUUGUAGCUUUCCUCCAUCUCCUUACGAGAUGUCAAAGUUUGAUUCCAGAUAAUAACCAUUUUUAUAGCUUGAUACUAAGUAUCGGAAAUUUGUUUCUUCAUAGCAGAGAGGCCAACAUAGGUACCCUUAAGAGCAUCGUCAAUCUUCCUUAGGUUAUUUUGUUCAACCUGAGCAACUUCAACAGCUUUGAACAUGCUCUCUAUUUUCUGAUUGAGGUUAAUAUUCAAGUCUUACUUAUCUUGCAUGAGGUUACCAAGGUCAUAUCGUAGAUCAGUAUUCUCCUUUUCCAAUAGCUUGAUAGUCUCCUUGAGUUUGUAAAUUUUAAAGACAGGAACAACAAAAGGUCCAGGAGGCUUGAGGCUCAUAGAAGGUUCAAAAAUGGAAAUGGAAACAUGACUUCCUUGACCUUUUCUUUAACCUAUUGUGUGUAGGCUUAAUUUUCUAUACAAUUCUUUUUUCCCAGUUCAUCCCUUCCUUGACGGUGAAUCUCUCCCCAAGCUCUGUUAAUCUUCUUCAGCAACUCUGGAUUAUCAACCCCUUCAUGUAGGACAAGUCUUCCAAUUUCCUGGAGUUUGGUUUGUCAAGCAUUAGGUAGCCCAAUUAGCUCAGUCUUAGACUCAUGUUAUAGGUAAUUCCUUUUUUUACCUAUGAGGUGUACAUUAGAGAAACUACCACAGUUGAGGAUGAUCUUGAUAUCAUCGUAGUUUCAAGAGUACCACAAGAUAUCACAAGUAGUUAAGGACUUAAUCCUCUGAGACCAUUUGAGAUUUACUUUAUUCUCAAUAAAAUGACCCUUGUUGGGUAAGUAAGACAUAAACCAUCUGUACAGUAGAGGAGCACAACAUACAAUAGUUUAUUUAUCCUUCUGGUACCUCAAAUGAAUAGAAUAAUAGGUAUCGACCAGAAAAGUAGGAACAUGAUUCCUAGUCAUGAAGAUACGAAUAGAAGCCAAGUCCAUAAAGUCUUCAAUGUUAGGAAACAACAUUAUGUCAUAUAUAAGCAGAGCAAGAAUAACAUUGGAGGCGUUCCAACUUCUAGCAUCUGCAAAAGCGGUGGCUUUGUCCAUCAGAAACUUCAGGGUAAAACCAUGAGUACCACCCUUGGGUUUGAGAUUAAUCUCCGCCUCAUUAUUCUCCUAGUGGAGUGCUUCAAAUAUAUGGUGAAAUUUGGGAAGCUCCUUGUAAGAUCCCAAUUUUGAUCCUAAGAUCCAUCAUUCCAUCUCAUGACUUGCAUUGCCAUUGGAAUCACACCUUGGUAUCCUCCCCACUCAUCAUUCAUGGUGUUUGCAUUGGGAGAGAUCACCAAGAAUUUUUGAUUGUAUCAUACAUUAUAUUUCUAUGUUUACUAACCAAAAUGCCAAAAUAUGUCUAGUAUAGUUUUAUUUCUUUUGCAGUUAACAUGUGCAUCCACUUGUGCCUCAUCAAGCUCAGAUCGAAGGUUUGAGACCCUCAAUGCAAGGGAUCAAGUUAAAAAAGGUCUAAAUUGUUUCAAAGAAUCAUAUAUGGAUCCCAUUAUUCUUUAUUUGUCACUUUGAUCAAGAAUUCAUCAAGAAUUUGAAGCUUGUUUGUCAUGGAAGCCCUAAUUCAUCUGGGUAUCUUGUGUGCCUUCCUCAGCAAGUUUCUUCAAACUUUGGUCAUAGAUAUCAAGGGAUACUCCAUUUUUAUUCAUCAUAAGCAUAUAUGAUCCUCCAUGAGCAGCAAAUAGCAAAAGUACUUCAAGUUUGCAACUUGGUUCAAGGAGGUUGACCAGAGAAGUCAACUAGUCAAAUCUAGGGUUCCCUAGACCCUAUCUCCUACAAUUUUUGUCAUAUGAAAACUAUUCCAAGAUAAACAUUACUCUUUAUAACAUUCCAAACAACUUUAAUUUUGGCACCAAGAGAUAAUAUUGCUCAGAAAGCCAUAUUUUAUGGUGAAAGAUUAUAGGUCAUUUUGUUUAUGCCCUAGAUAGAAGGUCAACUUCCAAGAACUAUAACUUGCUCAAUUUCUGUGAUAUGAAGGUAAUACAAGUUUUAUGAUCAAUUUAAAUAUGUAUUAUCCAACUUUUCUACUUUUAGAAAGGUAAAAUUUCACUUGCAAGGGCAUGUACUAAGAGGAAACAUUAUGGGCCAUUUUGGGCCAUCACCAUUGAACAAGCAAUUUUCCUCAACUUCUAAAAUCCAUAACUCCAUCAUGCAACUCCAAAUUGUGUCAAAUUUGUGACCAAAUUGAAGAUAAUUGAAAUAUCUACAACUUUGAAGAAGGAAAAAAGUCAUUUAAAGCUCAUAGAAAAAUUUAUUCAAGGUGGAAAAAAGGUCAUUUGACUUUUAGCUUAGAAAAGUUUCAAGUAUGUUUGAUCCCUCCAACUUCCACACCAAAAUUCAUCAUGAUACAAGAUUCAAAUGGAAAAUGUUUCAACAUAAAAGUUGUUCCCCUUCAUGAUAGCUUUCCAAAGAGUCCAAGAUCAUUGCAUUUGGAUCAAAAUUUAGGGACUUGCAUAUGGUUAUUUUGAAUGGCCCUAUUUGGAAACUUUUGAGUUCAAUUUUCAACCAACAUUGCAUGGCUUCAUGAAGUGAUCUCAACAUCAAUUGUGCACGAAUUUGGACUUUUUGCAAUCAUAACUUGGGCCUAAAUGCAUUCCCAUGCACCCAUGCACACAAGUUACUAUUUUGACCAAUUUUUGAAAUGGUGUGGAAAUGAAUUCACAAGCCUAUAAAUACAUGUCCAUUGCCUCAUAACUAAGGACCCUGGCCCAAGCUUUGAUCUGCGAAUCCCCAUAACCUCCAUUGAAAGAAUACCUUGAAGGUUUCACUUGAAAUCGAGUUUUAGUUCUCUUUUUGUUUUUGAGCUAAAACUACAAGGAUUGAAAGCCAUUCGUGCUCUAAUCAUCUCCUACAAACAAGAGGAAGCAAAACUAAGAAAAAUUGUAUUGAGAUCAAGCCAAAUCACUGCAACCCGAAGGUGGAUUUUCAAAAACUUUCCUUCUUCGAUUCUCUCUUAUUUAUCCAUAAUUUUGCAUGAUUUGUGGUUGGCUGAAGUCCUGCCAAUGUAGGCAACAAGAUUGAGUUACUUUGAGGUCAAAUCGAAGCAACUCGGUUUGCAUACCUCAUUUUUAAAUUCCACAUAUCUUUUUAUAUAGUGAGAAUUGGAAGAAAUGGAGGUCAGAUUCGUGUUCCCCUUGAUUUUCUCUUCAAAACCAUGUAUGGAUCUUUCAUUUUUCUGAAACUUUUGGAUUGGAUUUGAUAUUUUUUGUGAAUUUAAUAGUUUUUGACUUGUUUUUAAUUAAUAUUAUAUACUUCUGACUUUCCAAAAAUUCUCAAAAAAUUUGUCUAAGGUCCUUUGACCUUGUUUGACCUAGGAUAAAUCCCUUGGCCAUUUAUUUGGUGAUUUGAAGGGAUUUGAGGUUUUCCCCCUUUUAAAAUUCAUUUUUAUUCAUUUAAAAAUUGUUUUUAAAUUGAUUAAUUAUUUAAAAAUUACGUUGAGCUAUUUGGUUGACCUUGAGCUGUUUCAUCUUCUGUUUGGCCUUGAUCAUGGUUGAUUUGAACUUCCAUUUGAUCAACACUAGUGGAUUUAGGGGGUUGAUGAAGUGUAAACUCCAUCCCUCAAGAUGAAUGGAUAAUAUUGAUGAGAUGAAAUUCCUCCCUCGAUCAAUUUGGGAUUCCAUUUCCAUUUCUUUUCAUCUUCAUCUCCUUCUUCCCCAACCCCUCAUUGACCAAUGAAUUCUCAAAUAUUCAAAUGCUAGUUGAUUCAUCAAUGACCUUGUGUUAGAUGAAUCAACAUGAGCUUGAUUGAGAUAGGUCCACCCCAUCUUAUUUUUGUGUGUGGCAUGCUUUAGGAGCUUGGUUCUUUGUACCAUGUCUCUAGCAUUCAUUAAGACCAAUAUUCUUAUUGCCCAGCCUAAGAUAGUUGUGACUUCUACAUAAGUCCAAUUACGAUUGCUUAACAUAAAGCUAAAUAUGUCCCAAAGGCAUAACAUUUUUGUAAGUGAGAUUGUAAGUCUCUCAUUCCUCAUAGUAUUGUGUGAAGACUUAACCUUUUUUCCAUUUGUAAGAGCUAGUGGCAUACUUGUUGAUUUAUGCAAGUUGGAGCCCUUUUCAUGGAUGAUUUCUUGGUUCAUGUGUUCAUGCUUGUGAGUGGAUGAUUAAGUGUUCUCCAAAUAAUGACUUAAAUAAUUGUUUUAUUCACUAACAUUUGACUAAAUUCUCUUUAUUAUUGCUUUACUUUCAAUGUCAUUUACUUAAUGCAAUUUAAAUUUUAGCACCUUUAUCAUUCAUUAUCAUUUACAUUUCAUGCAAGUUGUUUAUGUUUCAGUCAUUUUCACUUUGCUCACUUGAGCCAUUGUAUUUGUGCUUGUGAUAUAUUCUGGUGUUUGUGAUUUUGUUCUGCUUGUGGUCUUAGGAACUUAAAAUACUUAAUAAAAAUAAAAACCCUAAAAAAUACAUUGGUGGACUGUUGGACCUAUGCUCUUGACUUGAUCUGAGCUUUUGGACUUAGAAUAGGCAACACCCCUAUGAUGUGGAAAGGACUUGGCCAAUGCCAUUAUUUGAGACUGAGUCAUCUUGGCCAAUGUCAUUCAUCUGAUAUAAGCCUUGAGGGUCCCAUUGGUUUAUCUGUUUUUUGUCUCUGAGCUUAAGUUGUUAUCUUGAUCUUAGUUGUUUAUACCUGAUGAUUGUUUCUAUGAGUUUGCCACAAGGGAUAUUUAAUUUGAUACAUUUGAAGAUAUUAAAGACUGCUUGCUUUUGGAGUGCAUACUUGGAUUUUUGCUAUAUUUAUUUGAUGCCUUUGAUCUUCAUAUUAAUUGCUUGGAUGACUAUGCUUGUUUCUUGCUCAAUAGUCCAAAGGAAAUGGGUUUCCAUCUGACAUUCUUGUCUUGUGGACUGCAUGCCAUUGGUCAGAUAUUUUCAACUCUAAACUUUUAAAUUUUGUCUAGGGUAGUCCCUCCAUCUCCUUAUUUCCCUCUUAAAUUUCAAAAUCUCUCCCUCCUUUUAAAACCUUCUUUUAGUGUGUUUUCAAUUAGACUUGUUUUAAUGAGUAUAAACUUUGGCCUUAUGCCAUUGAUUUUCAAAACAUUUUCUUAAUUAAACUUGUGAAUAAACUUAAUCAUAUUGACUUUAAUUUCAAAAAGACAAAAAUAACUAACAACCUCAUCUAAUCCUUUUGGUUAUAUUUUUCCUUUUUAUUUUAAACUUUUCAAAUGAGAGCAUUUAUAUUUGAGUUAUCUUUGGUUAAUAUACAAUUCUCCCAUUCCAUGAUAUAUUUAAUUGUAAGUCUUUCCCUUUAUUCGGGGUUAGUGGCAUACUUGUUGGAGUCCUCCCUCUUAAAUGUUGUAAAGCACUCAUUAUCGGUGGAUGUUUGGUCGAGUAUUCUCCCAUUGAUAACAAAAGAUCUUUAAGAUUUUGUUAAAAUCAAUCCACCAAUCUUUGAAAUUUUACCACAAACUAUGGGAUUUUGAUCCUCAUUUUUAUGUUGAUACAUAGGCAUAAGACUGAAGAUCUUAUCAAACACAAAAAUAUAAUAAAAAUGAAUUCUUUUUCUUAUCCCCCCAUUCUAAUUUUUUAGCAAACAUAUUUUCAACUAAAAAUAAUUAUACACAAAAAAGGGCUCCCUAGGAGUACCUAUGACACUUUGGGUGUUAAUACCUUCCUUUUGUGUAACCAACCUCAUUACCUGUAAUCUCUGACAUUUCAUUAGUUUUGAUUUGAAAACUUCUUAUCUUUGGGUUUUGUUCGUACUUUUCCCUUUUACUUUAGAAACAAUAAAAGUGAGAUGGCGACUCUUGUUUUAUUGACGUUGAGCUAACCAAUAGCUCAGUGGUCAUGAAUUUACCGCUACACUCCUUUGUGUUGAUGAAUGGAACUUGAUCCUUAAUCUCAACCCCCAUGAUAUAAGAAUACACCUACAAAGUUGGAGCCAAAUGAUAGUCUUGGAAAUGGAAACAUCUCAUCAGAGGAUCAUAGAAUUGCACAAGAGUGUGGAUGGCCAUGAUGUUGGCUUCAAUGUUAAUGAUGCCUGAGAGAUUACCAUAAUUAUUCUUGAAAUCAUCCUUGUUAUCAAGAAUCAGACGAAUCCUCAAUCCUCUCAAAGCCUUCAACCAGGGUUCCACAAACUUGUAACUAUAAAUUCUUCUUCUUCCAGCACUCAUUUUCUUCUUGAAUACUUAACAAAGACUAAGCUCUUUGAUUUCCUAGAAAUGCACAUGCAAAAAUUAAUUUUGAUAUAAUGUAAUGAUAUGCAACAUCAUAGAUUCAAAGGUUCAACACAUUAUGGAUAAUUUGUAUAUAGUUCUCAAUGCAGGUUCAAAGGUUUGACGUAUACAUGAUGAUCAAGGUAUGUAGGGUCUUGGUUUCCUGUAAAAACCCAGUAUCCCCUCACAAGUAGGUUUUAGUCUUCAAAGGUGAUUCCUAAAAUUCCUCUCAGAGUCAUGGAUCCAAAUUAAAAUACCUUGCCGUAGAAAAUUCUUGCAGAACAAUGGUACUUCCAAGUGGAUCUCGUGCCAACCUAACACGUGAAAUACAGGUCAACACGACUAUCCACGAUUCUAUUCUGUUUGUAUACUUAAGCUCGGGUAUAAAGCUUAUCUCUCAUGUAACAUCAACCUAACCCAACAACAGAGAAUAUAGCAGAUAUCUAGAGUAUGAUGAAUAUAUAAAGCAAUAAAGAGUGCAAUAAAUAACAUAAAGAUAAAGCAAUUAAAGUAGUAAAGAUAAACACCCAAGCAAACAAGAAAACAAACAAGACUAUGAUUGACUUGCUUAUGGACUCCCCAACAGAAUCUCCAGUUGUUGUGAUGCAAAAAAUACAGAGUCUCCACCAAAAUUUAUUUAUUCCAAAGGAAAGGGGAAAUGCGACAAAACCCUUAAAAUAAAAGAAGAUGGUCAUCAAAACCAAAUUCGGGUUCGGGAGUCGAUUAUGCAAGGGGAAUGUAUUAGCACCCCUCACGUCCAUUAUACUCAACGUGAAGCAUUUUGAUUAUUCUUUGCGUGAAUGCGUGUUACGAUCUAAAGGUUACUUGCGAAUGAUAAAAGGGGGAAAAUUAAAUUUAUUAAUUAAUGUGCUCGCCAAGGAUUCAAACCCUCGUGCCUACGUCUUCUCAUAGUACAAUGAGAAAAUCAGAGCUCCGUAGUUCAUGGUAGAAAAUACGGAUUAUUUAUUGAUUUUAGGGAACAAUUAUAAUCGUAUCCUAGAAGUGUGUAGAUGUUAGCUGGUUUUGAUCCUUGUUCGGAUGCUCUAAGUUUUUAGUUUGACUACUAAGGAACAAAUUGUAACAGUUCUUUUAUGAAAAAAAAGAAAAUUUGUUUUGAAAACUUUUGUGUGAUAAAAGAAAAAAGAAAGAAUUGAUUGAAUUGAACUAGGAAAAGAGAGAAAGUUGCUUGAAUUAAAAAAAUAUUUUGAGUAUAAAAGGAUUGCGGAAUGAGUAAAAAUUUGUUUGGUUGUUGUGGAAGUAUUGCUUGAACCAGGAUUGUGUUGUUUGAAUCCAUAGGACAUGCGUAUCUGAAUCGAAGACUGUGGCGUUAACAAGUAGAUGGUGUGGCAAUGCAAGGUUGUAGGAUUUUUCCUACAUAUAGGGAGAUCAAAACCUACAAGAAAGGGGGCUGCCAGAGCAUGGAUCUCCACAGGACAGUGAAUGAAGGUUUCUAGAGCACAUGGCUCCAUAGGGCAAUGCACGAGGUUUCCAGAGCACCGGGCUCCACAUGGAAAUACAUUAGAGUUACCAGAGCACAUGGAUCUAUAGGGGAAAAUAAAAUAAAAUGGUUUCCAUAGCCCAAGGCUCCACAAGGAAAUGCAUGAAGAGGUUUUCCAGAGCAUGGAGCUCCGUAGGGCAAUGCAUGAAGCUUGCCAGAGGACAUGGCUCCACAGGAUAAUGCAUGAAGGGUUUGAUUCAUAUAUGGGUGUUUAACCAUGAUGUGAUUAACCCAAUGAAUGUAUAGAUGUCCAGGAUAAUGUAUGUUUUGUACAAGGAGAAGAUUAUUGUUGAUGUUGAUUAUUAUAGUGUUAAGGUGUUGAAGUGUCUGUUGGCUGUGGGGAAUGAGACUUGACAUUUAUUCAAUUUGAAUUGCACUAAAGUAUAUGAAAUAAGGUGAAUACUUUGAACAACUAGGUCAGGCGUCCCAUGUCCAAAGAUAUUCAGAAUGAGGAUAUGAAUAAUCAUUCUCAUCCCUUAUUCAUUACUUAAGGCUCGCGAUAAUUUGCAUCAUCACUGACAAGUGUUGAAAGAAAACUCUUUUUGUUGUGCUUGAAUGAUGCUCAUCAGUGAUAUACUCUUGAUGUCCAGAAUCUUCAAAGUCUUAAAUGUGAAGCUUUACUUAAAUUGACUUGAGUGUGAAGUCUUGACUUGGCUUGAGGUCCAAUGUAGUGUGAGCACAAAGAUCUAAUCAUAUCAAACGACCCAGAGGCUUAUGAUCACUUGACUGGGUAGGGGGAAACAGAUAAUGAUUCAGGAAAACUCUAAGACAAGGUCCAAUAUCAAGUGUAAUUAGCCGAUCAAGGUUGAAUUUGAUCAACUAAUUAAGGGAAAAAGAUCAUGCUAAAGUCCUAAUGAGCACAUUGAUUUUAUUUGAUUAACAAACUAUGGUCAUCAAGGAACUUAUAACAACCAUAAUAUAUGAUGAGAUUAAAUUGACAAUUAAAGAAAAAUUCUAAGGAUUAAUUCUAACUACAUCCUAAUCAAAACUAACAUGUGUUACUUUUAUUAUCUUUCAAAGAAUUUCUAAAAUGUAGCAAAUGUAUUUCAUGAAUUUAUUAAAUGUGUAAAGAAAAGAAUUGAAGAAAUAAAAGAAGAAAAACACAAUAAGAAAUAAUUAAAACAAAAAUGAAUAACAAAAUAGUGGGGAGGUGCAUGGUCCAGAGGGUUGUGUGUUAAAUAAAAGGAGUUGGGCCUUGCUUCAGCAGACCCAAAGAUAACUUUUGUUGUACUCAUCAUAGGAGGGAAGUACACAAGUAAGAGUUAUAUGUAAGUACAAAGCCCAUUGGGCUUGUGCACUUUGGAGCCUAAUAUGAACAAGGCAAGGGAGGGUGAAGAGUAUUAGUGUCUAUUUUCAAGUUUCAAAAGUUCACGCGUCCCUUUCAAAUCCCUCACCGGAGAACAAACCUCGUUGCAAUAUGAUUUUCAGUGAGUUUAUUGAAAACUGAUUGAAAAGGAUUGAUUGAAGAGAGGAUGAGGAUUUAUAGAGGUGAGUUCCUUAUUGAUUCAACACCAAGAAAAAAGGAAGUUCAAGAACCCCUAAUCCUCAUGGAACUGUGUUCGAGAAUUUAUACCAAGAGGCGAGGUAUGAUGUGCUUGCUUGGUGGAACUUGAUUCUGACGAGGUAUGCAUGUGAUGAUACUUUGUGUACAUUGUGAUUAAAAGCUAAGAUUGAUAUAUUGUUUAGUACCAUAAGAAUGAUUGAUUUUAUGUGAAGCAACUAUCCCAUGUAUGAGUGGAUCACUCUAAAGUUCUUGAGUAUUCUAGAGUUCAAAUAGCUUAAAACAAGGUCCGAAGGUAUCUGGUAUUAUCAUAGUACCCAUAAAUUAGGGAUGUUUAGUGAAAGGCAACCGUUGUUUGUUGAGGCCUUGGAACAUAUCCCCCGCUUGCCUACUGAUAGCCAUGAAGAUGUUCCAAAUGAAUUUGAUGUCACAAAAAUGUGGAUGGAUAUUUUGGGGGAUCAUAUUUAUGACUCCGCAAGAGCCAAGGCUGGAUUUAUAAAAAAAAACCUUGUUUCCACUAUAUCCAAAAAGCGUUGGAUUAUAUCCUCUUUGGUUGAGGCGAUAAUACCGACAUACAUGAUCUAUAUUUUAUGCACACCAUGGUAAAAAAUGAGUUUAUUAAUGUUAGUGCUUUCGUGGCUAACCAACUGAGAAAGGUUUCAAGAGCGACUAGUGGCAACAUUCUACACAUGGGGUUGAUUACCCUCAUCGUUGAGAACUCAGGGCAUGUAUUUAAUACAGAGACUUUUCAUACACUUGAUACAUAGUCUCUCAUAAAUAUGUGAAUUAUUUACUAUAAGGGGAAUACUUUGUCCAUAAUAAUCCAUAAGAGAUCCAUUCUUGAUUUUCCCAAACCAAGGUGUGUGAGGAUAAAUAAUAAGAACAAUUGGUUGUAUGAUAUGGGUAUCCAAUUCCCAGAGAUUUAUUCUAGGAUGAGGAAGAUGUCCCCAAUUUUGUUGAUAUUGAUGUAGGGAUAAAGAUGGACAAAGAGUUUGCACCACCACCUCUCUCGCCUACCCAACAUGAAACUGGGAGUUCCAAUGCUUAUCGAGAUAAAUAGGAAUGGAUGCAGUAUGAGGUCUAGAACAUUAGAGUAGAGUAAGUGAGACAAGGAGAGUAGAAAAUGAGACAAGGGACCAUGAUUAGAGUAGUUGAGACAAGGAGAGUAGAAAAUGAGACAAGGGACCAUGAUUGCCAAUGUUCAGAUGAUAAUGAAGCAACUUAUGAUGUGACUUCCACUUCCUCAGUGAGGUUCUUCGUGAGUUUUCUUAUUUACCUUCUCUACUUUUAAUAAAACAUUGCAGACAAUGUUUGGUUUAAGUUGGGGGAGGGGUAUUUCCUUUAUAUCAUGUUUUUUUUGUAUUGUUUUGUUUUAGUGUGAUUAUGCACCAUUGUUAAAUUCUCCCAAUUUGAACCAUUUCAAAUUUUUUGAAAAAGGAUUUGAUUAUAAUUUUACUGAGAAAGUAUAUAGAGUAUGAGAGAUGAGAGGUUUAAUUUAAGGACACCAGAAAACUUUGAUAAAAUUGGCAUUGUCUGAAAACCCGAAGUCUCUCGAAUUGGAUAUCUAUAUAGGUCAUUUUGUCUGAACACCUAUAGUCUCCAAAAAAAUUUGAGAAGUAUUUUACGAUAUGUUAAUUUAAAACAAUCGGGAAUUUUUUUGAUUCACUUACUACUAUUAGUUGAUUGACAAAUGAAAAUUGAAAAAAUUGAAAAGUUAUUCAACCCUCACUUAGUUAUUCAACCUUUCAGUGGUUGAUCCUCGAUGCCUCAAAAAUAUGUAAAGCUAUGUAAUUGAGAAUAAAAGGUUAUUAAUUGGAGUAAGUUGGGCACACCUUAAAGAUGUGGUCCUUCCCAAAAGUUAGUUUAUUCAUGUGUUGUGAAAAAUCAAGAAAAAAUCAAGUUAACCUUAUGCGUGUUUCAUGAUUAUCAUUAUUUUUAUUGCCGUAAUUUGAUUAUUCUGAAUGAAAGAAUAAGAAAAUCGAAUACAGAGACUUAGGUACAAAGCUAUAAUUGAAUUGGUGUUUAACGAGGGAGUCUUUAGUAUGUAUUCUUACAAUUUGUGUUCUUAAAAUGCCUUUGGUGUCAAAUUAGUAACGAGAGAUUUAAUCCUUAACCAAUCUGAACAAUGGUUCAUGUAUGUGUACCAAUGGUUUUGUUUUCAUUAGCUUUAUUUGUUACUUUGUCUAAAUUUUGUCUAUGCAAGGCAAGUUGCUUGAGGACAAGAAACCGUUUAAAUUUGGGGGAGUUUGAUAAUUGAUUUCCGUACCACUUUAUCAGUAGUUUUUAUUUCCUUUUUAGUCAUCUUAAUCUAUAUUUUUAUUAAUUUUUUUAUGUAUUAUUGUUUGUUUUCUCAAUUUUCAGGCUAUAAAGAGCGUCCUAAUGAAAAGAGAAGUCAAGAGGAGCAAAAUGUAUCGAAGAUCAAAGAAGGCGAUUUUCAUCAUACAAAAUCCAAGGGCACACUAUAAGUGACCAAAGAGAAAGCUAUGGGUCGUAGUUGCUCCUAGAAGCCCUCCAUACAAAAAUCCAGGGGUCUGUUACAGGCUAACCAUACCAGAGGCUUCAGGCCGUUAUAGUCCAGGAAGUUACAAUUUCCUUUUUUAUGUGCCUGUUUUUUCUUGUGUUUUAUAAUUCUGACUGUUUUAUUUAUAAAGAAAUGUCUCUAAGAAUCUAGAGGGAACGGAAGUAAGGUUUGUAAUAAUGGGAUUAAUUUAUUUAUAGUUAGGAAAUUGGGAGAAACAAUUAUCUCAUGCCCUAGGUUUACUUUACUAUGUUUAUCUUCCCACAACUUUUCUUCUAACAAGCAUUGUACUCAAGCACUGCAUUGAAUAUUUUUAUUCAAGCAUUUAUUUCUCGUCUAUCAUAUAUGUCAAUGUUUUAAUUAUUUUACUGUUUAACAUAUGUGAGUAGUUCCUUAAGGAUGAAGGAUCAUGAGAGUUGUCUCGUGACUAACCUCAAGUGAUCCCUCUACAUUUUAUUACUAGAAACAAAGUUAAAAUUAUUUUAGAACUUUGAGCUUUUAGCGCAUAUGUCAUUUACGAAAGUAAAGAUAUUUCAAGUACUGAUUAUACGCUGAAAGGGUGUAUUUCGGUACCCGAGAUGGAAUUCUAGACAAUUAACUAAGUACGAGACGACGAAAGUGUCUCAAACUUAGAUGAGAAAGUUUAUUUUAUAUAGUUGCACAGAACUAAUUUCAAACAAAUAAAUUGGACUGACAAAAGUGAACAAAUUAUUUGUUUGAUAGAGGAUAACAUGUCAAUGAAAAUAGGUGUUGUCUAAUUUUCUCUAUUUUUAUAUAAUUCGAUUGAUUUCUCAUAGUAGAAUUAGAGGUUCACAUGAGUAUCUUUAGAUAAGACUCAUGUACCAUGAGUCCCGCUUUUUUAUUACAAUAUUUAUUCAUUAAAAUUUAUUUGGUUCAAUCUCAAACUCAAUUUUGAUUGAUUUAGUUAAACAACGAUGUGGUAGAAUCCGGUAAUCAAAUAUUUGGUCUCUGGGGUACGACAAUCCUUUUUACUACUUUGAUAAUGUUGUAUACUUACGGCGUGUAAAGUUUUUUAAUUUUAGUUUGAUAUUUUAAUGAUAUCUUUAGAGAUGAAUAUUAUGUAUGUUAGGUAGUAUGAAAUAAUUUGAUUAAUUGCCUUGUUUCUCUUAGUUAAAGGUAAAAAAAUUUAGAAUGUGUAACUAAUUAUUUUUUAAAGUAAAACAUUCUUUGUAUAAGUCAUAAUAAAUUUUAUCAUUUAAAUUGAUUGAAUUUAAAUAAAUUUAGGUGAAUUCAUGACACUUUAGAGUUUGAUUGAGUAUGUAACUAGCAUCCAACCAUUUUAUACCAUGUCAUAUAUUUAGACAAAUUAUUAUUAAUAAAUUAAAAUUUUCAAUCAAUUUAACAUACACUCAAGGUAACUAAUUUUUUUUAUUAAUUUUAAUAAUUUGAUAAUAACUUCUUGUAGAAAAAAUGUAUUUACGGUUUCAUAUUUUAGAUCUUUCAAUUAGUAGUAAUUUUAAGAGAAUAAAAUUCUAGAACUCUAUAAAUGAUCGGAAUAGAAAGUGUUUAUCUAUUAUGAUAGGAUUGAAAAGUAUGGUUAUGUAGAUCAUAUGGUAAAAAAAUACCAUCAAGUCUAUUUAAGAAUAUUAAUUAUAUAAUUACUUAAAAUUAUAUUCAUUGUUUAAAACAUAGGUGAAAGUAGAAAAAAAAAUAGAUAUAAAGACAUUCAACCAUACAAAACACUUAAUGAAAGAGAAAUUGAAAUUUAUGUAAAUAAAAAACAAAGUCGAGAUGAGAUUGUGAUUAGAAGUGAAGAUGAUGCAAAUGGGAAAGGGAAAGAUGAAAAGUAUCAUCAUCUAGAUCAUGAAAUGCAUAUCUUGACUCAGAGAGAAAGGGAAAAGAAAAUGAGUAAUAUAUUCUCGAACCUUCACGCCCUGCUUCCUGAACUACUUCUAAGGUAGUCUUCAAUUAAUUUAAGGGUAAUCAUUGCAUGAUCAAAUAGACUUUGUACUAUUUAUUUUGCUAAGACAUCACUUUAUUUCAACCAAAUAAAGUAGUAAUUUUAAUUGUUUGAAAAUGAGUGUUUCUUUUCUCCAUUUAACUUUGUAAUGUCAUUGUUACCAUCUUUUUCAAUUUGGACAAAUAGGAAGUUUUAAUAGGACAAAAAUAUCUCUCGAUUUUUUAGUAUACUAUUUUUAUUUUUUUAUUAUCGACUAGACUAAAUUUUUAAUUUUUUUUUUCAAUUCCAUGGUUUAAUAUUUUUUUAAUAUUUGUUCACAUAAGUAAAAAAUAAUAAGAGAUCUAUAUAAUUUUUUAUUCAAGAAAAUAUAUUUUAAUUUUAAUUAAAUUAGUAUGAUAAUACUUACUUAAAUGGUAGGAUGUAGUAUGGAUACAAUAUUAGAACCACUUAUAGGCUUAAUCAGAUUUUUAUUUUUAUUAGAAGAACUUUAUAUCAAAUUAUGACUUGAACAAAUAUCAGUCAUAUUUUAUUUAUUUUUGAAUGAAAUUUUAGAUUAUCAAGUGUCUUUCUCCAACAACCAAAGGAAUAAAAUAAAAUAUAUAUUUGACACAAACCAUCAGAGUAAGGCUUUCGUAUCAUAAUGAUUUACUUACUAAUUAAAUUUCUUAAUUUGAUUAUUUUUUGUAGGCUGAUAAAUCAACAGUUAUGGAUUCAGCAACGAAGGAAAUAAAAAUUCUACAAUAAAGUCUUGAAAAGUUAGAAAAGCAGAAGCAAGAAAAGCUGAAAUAUGCCGCCCUAUUUGGAAUUGAGUUAUCAUUUGUAAUUAACAAAUCACAUUAGCAUCCUUAUGAAUAAAGGGAAAUGAUCAAAGUUGAUCAAGGAUCCUCAAGUUAUAAUAAUAACUUGCCUACUAGUACAAUUAUAGCUUUGUAUUCUAAUUCAAAAGCAUUAUCAUUAUCUGCACCUCCACCAGAACACGUAUUUUUUUAAUCAUGGACUUCUCCAAAUGUUGUCAUAAACAUAUGUGGUGGUGAUGUACAAUUUGGUAUAUAUGCUACUAAAAGGCCAUGUCUUUUGAUAAAGAUUGUGUUUGUGUUGGAGAAAUAUAUAAUUGAUAUUGUAUUUGCCAACAUUAUGUGCAACGACAAUGGAAAUUUCUAUAUGAUUCAAGCACAUGCAUGUUUUAAACCUGCUUUCUCUUGUCUUUAUGGUUUAUAUGUGAUAUCAUAGUACAUUUGUUAAAACUAAAUUAUUGUGGUACCAAAAAACUAUAAUAGUUUACUAAUUCAUUAAAAAGGUUAUUUAGCAUGAAGGAAAUUUUACAGGCGAGACAAGGUUCACAUGACGCAAAUUUAGUGGAGGAAAUUUACAAGAAAGCAGCGAGAGAAGUUAUGAUACAGAUCUCUUAAAUUUUAGAUUAUAUAACUUUCUUUGCAUUCCGUGUGAAUUUUAGUUUAAUUUUAUUCUCUAGAAAACUGUUAGAAAUGGUCAAACUUGCAUAAUUGUCUUAAGAUCAAAUAAAUAUAAUAUUUCCUUUUUAUGAAAUUAUUAUGGUCUUUUUCAUUUGAGGAAAAAAUUAUGGUGUUUAAACUAGUUUAUACAUGCAAUUUAUGUUUUCUUUUCUAAUAUAAAUUGCACAAAUAAGUAUAUAGUUAUUGUUGUUGUAUGAACACGGGGUGUUGAUCACCGAUGCUAGUGAUAUGAUCUCUAUGUCUAAUCAUGUUAGGCUAAAUAAAUUUUCUGAAUAUUUUUUCCCCAAACAUUGAGGUGUACCUACAAAUACAUUAUGGUUUAAAAGUUAGAAAUGGGUUGAGUACAUAGCGAAUGAAUGAGUUUGGAAUUGAAUGAUCAUACCUGGACGCUGAACCCAUAAUAUAUAAAUUUGUUAUAUGCACUCAAACUAUUGUUUAUACUAAGUUGAUCACUGUGAUUACAUCAAGACAAAUGUGUCCCGCCAACAUAACUGAAUGUCGAGAUAUAAUAUUGUGCUUAAUCUAAUUUCAACAUGCUUCACAGUGUUUAGAAUGGUAUAAGGAUACCUCUGUUUCGAAAACCUUUAUGCAUAAAUGAACUUAUAUUCUUGGAAAAUGUCAUGUGUCAUUUAUUAUUUAGUGUCAUAUUUUGCACUAAUGUUUGUUGGAAAUCCCCUAAAACCUAUGGAGAAUUUCAAUCAAUCUUGAUGAACAAGAUUGUUAUUACCCACACAAUAGCAAUGAAAAGAAAGGAACAAUGAAGAAAGAGAGAGUGUAUUGAACGAUGAAGGAGAAGAGUAAUAUAAUUCUGCAGAGUUUCUCUCUGUCCACAAACUGUGGAAAACUUCUUAUUCACUUUGCAACUGCAAAAUAUUGUGAAUACAAUGUUAUGAAUGCUCAAUUCACCUCUUUACAAAAAUAAGGGUUACUCUCUCUAUUUAUAGAUUUAGGUUAACUUGGACCUCAAGCCAAAGCCUAAAACUAUAAAAGUCCAAAAUAGCUAACACUACUAAAAUAGGCAUAUGUGGUUCAACACAAGGAAUUACAAUUCAACACACCACCUAAUUCAUUGUGUCUAAGCUAUCUACAUUCAUCAUAGCUCUUAGUCUUUUGAACACAUCGACCUGCACUCCCUGCGUCAUGAUGUCUACAAUCUGAUUCCCAGUUCUGCAGUGUUCCACUUUCAUCUUCCCAUCUGCUACUUGCUCUCGAAGAUAAUGGAACCUCAUUUUGACGUGCUUGCUUCGACCAUGUGCUAUCGGAUUCUUCGCCAGAUUGAUUGCUGACAUGCUGUCGAUCUUCAUGGUAAUUGUUCCAUGAUUCUUCGUUGUUAUCUCUUCGACUAGAUUCACCAUCCAUAUUGCUUGACAUGCACAAAGAGAAACAUCAAUGUAUUCUGCUUCGCAUGAUGAUAAUGCCACUACUGGCUCUUUUCUCGAACUCCAAGCAACUGGUGCACCACCUAGCAUAAACACAUAACCAGUUGUGGAUUUUUGAUCCUCAGCAUCACUACACCAACUUGAGUCGGUGUAUCCCACUAAUUUGCAUUCUUUUCCUUCAUCAGAUGUAGGAAACAAAAUGUCAUAAUCGAGAGUUCCUUUCAGAUACCUUAGUAUCCUCUUCGCCGCUGCUAGAUGUGAUACCUUUGGCUUCUGCAUGAAUUUACUCACCAUACCUACACUGUAUGCUAAGUCAGGCCUUAUGUGGCAAAGGUAUCGAAGUGACCCAAUAAGUCUUCUAUAUUGGGUUGGGUCGACAUCAUCUUCAUCUGAAUCUUUUGACAGUUGUAAUCUGGGCCCAGCUGGAGUCGAAGUUGGGUUACAAUCUUGCAUCUCAAAUCUCUUGAGAAUUUCGCCUGCAUACCUUCUUUGGUGCAUCAUGAAACCUCUACCACUCUUGUAUAAUUCGAUGCCAAGGAAAUAUAAAAUGUCACCAAGAUCUGAAAUUUCGAAUUCCUUGUUGAGAUAUUCUUUGAAGUCUUCGAUCUCCUUCUUACAACUACUUGUUAUCAACAAAUCAUCGACAUAAAGACAUAGUAAAAGCAAUUCACUCUUGCUUCUUAUUAGAUUAACUCCAUGUUCACUUGUGUACUUCACAAAUUCCUUCUCCCUUAGAAAUCCAUCUAUCUUCUUGUUCCAAGCUCUUGGAGCUUGUUUAAGUCCGUACAAGGCUUUAUGCAGCCUGUACACCUUUCUUUCUUUGCCAUGUUUCACAAAGCCAACUGGUUGUGCAACAUAAACUUCUUCUUCUAAGGAGCCAUUAACGAAUGCACAUUUCACAUCCAUCUGACACAUCUGUCAGUUGUUCAUGUUUGCUAGACCAACAACCAACCUGACUGUUUCAAUCCUAGCAACAAGUGUAAAAACUUCAUCAAAGUCGAUUCCUUCUUUCUGAAGAAAUUCUUUCGCCACAAGUCUCACCUUGUGUCGAGUCACUUCUCAUUUGGGAUUCAAUUUCACCUUGUAUACCCACUUCACAUUGAUUUCCUUCUUGUCUUGGGGCAAUUUGACAAGUGACCAAGUGUUGUUGACUUCGAUUGACUUAAGUUCUUUAUCCAUUGCUUUCAUCCACUUCGAAUCUUUCAUUGCCUCAGCUGCAUUGACAGGUUCGACAUCUGCGUAGAAAGCAUAAUGUAUCAGCUCACCUUCUUCAUCGACUAUAUCAUCUGAUGUAAUCACGCAUUCUUGCAACCUUGCAUGCAUGUGUCUCGUUCUUUGAGGUCUGCUUGUACUUGCUUCACCUCUGACUUCUUCCUGUUGAAUUCUCUUUCGACUUCACUAGCUGGUUCAUCAUAAAAUAUUCUCACUGAAUCUUUAUUGAUAUUCUCAGUCCAAUCCCAUUCCUUAAGCUCAUCUAUGAUCACGUCCAUGCUGAUCACUACUUGCUUAUUCACUGGGUCGAACAACUUGUAUCCUCCAGUCGAAUGAUAUCCUAUCAGGAUCAUCUGUAUGGACUUGUCAUCAAGUUUUCUUCUCAACUGAUCUGGCACAUGUCAAUGUGCUAUAGAUCCAAACACCCUAAGAUGACUCAAGCUAGGCUUGACACCAGACCAACAUUCUUCUGGCGUGAUUCCUUCUAGCUUCUUCGUCAGACAUCUGUUCAUGAUAUAUGUCGCAGUCGACACAACUUCUCCCCAUAAUUAUUUGGGUAGAUGCUUGCCUUUCAACAUACUUCUAACCAUAUUCAUAAUGGUUCUAUUCUUCCUUUCUACGACUUUAUUCUGUUGUGGAGUGUAGGGUGGGACCACCUCAUGCACAACCCCUUCUUUCAUACAUAAUGCAUUGAAGUCUUUUGACACAUAUUCUCCACCACCACCAGUCCUGAAAAUCUUGAUCUUUCGACCGCUCUAUCUUUCGACCAUAGAUUUAAACUUGGCAAAUACCUCGAUCACUUCACUUUUCUUCUGGAUCAGGUAAGACCACAGUUUUCGACUGAAAUCAUCUAUGAAUGUAACAAAGUAUUUGUUACCUCCAAUCUAAACUUGGCAAAUACCUCGAUCACUUCACUUUUCUUCUGGAUCAGGUAAGACCACAGUUUUCGACUGAAAUCAUCUAUGAAUGUAACAAAGUAUUUGUUACCUCCAAUCAAAUCCACCUGGAGAGGAACACAUACAUUAGAGUAUAUUACUUCAAGAAUUGCCUUCGACCUGCUUCCCGCAUCCUUACUGAAGUUGUUUUUAUGCUGCUUUGCCUGCACACAUUCUUCACACACUUUGUUUGGAAUGUCGAUUUCUGGUAAUCCUGAAACCAUAUUUCUUCUCUUCAAAUAUUUGAUGUCUUUGAAAUUAAGAUGGCCAAGUCUAUAAUGCCAUAUCCAUUCAUCUCUGUUGGCUGCUGUUGUAAGGCACUUGUGCUCCAUCACAUUAAGCUCAAUCUUGAAGGUUCUAUUCUGAGACAUUUGAGCCUUCAAGAUCAACCUUACAUUUGAAUCGAGAACUCUCAUCAUCUUGUCUUCGAUCGACACCUUGUAGUUCAUUUCGACUAACUGCCCUAUGCUGAGCAAAUUGCUCUUGAUGCCUGGUAUGUACAACACGUUUGAAAUUACUGAUCUCUUGCCAUCUUUCCUCAUAGUCAGAACAUCAUCAACACCUUCAGCUGCUAGAGUGUUGUCAUUUGUAAACUUCACCAUGUUCUUCAUUUAGGGCUUUAUGUUGACAAACAAAUCUUUUCUUCCAGACAUGUCUGAUGAGCAUCCUGAGUCCAAGUACCACUGGUCCUUGAAUCUCUCUUCUUCUUUUGUUGUAACCAUCAACAAUGUCUCUUCUUCUUCUUCUUCUUCAUGUUUUGCUAGCUUUGCAUAAGUUUCUUGAUUCUUCUACUUUUCUGGACAAUCACUAGAAUAAUGACCAUACCUUUGACAAUUGUAACACUGAAUGUGACUUUUGUCUGGCUUUUGACCACCACCUCUUCCUCUACCUGCAACACCACCUCUUUGAUUGCCUUGGUUCCAGGGUUUUCUCUGAUUCAACCAGUUUCCUUCUUGCUUAUUUCGACCAGUCGAAUUGUUGUAACCUCCUUUGCCUUUGUUGCCAUUCCAGAUUCCUUUGCCUUUUCUUUCUUUUGCUGAUUGAGCCUGCAAAGUCAUAUCACUCUUCGAAUUUCCUAUAGCUCUUUCAUCCAUUAUUUGUUCAUGAGAUUCAAGUGUCCAUUGAAGCUCUUCCUUUGUCAAUUUUGACAAAUCUUUCGACUCUUCUAUGGCUACUACCACGUGGUCGAACUUUGGAGCCAACGACCUCAAGAUUUUUCCAACAACAGAUUAUGAUGUCAACACUUCUCCAUAUACCUUCAUUUGAUUCACCAGUUUUGUAACCUUGGUGAAGAAAUCAGUUAUGCUUUCAUUGUCUUCCAUCUGAAGCAAUUCAUACGUUCUUUUGUGAGUUUGUAACCUCACCUCUUUCACCUUCUCUGCGCCUCCAAACAUUUCUCCAGAAUUUCCCGUGCGUCUUUCGCUGACUCUGCAUCACUAACCUUUUCAAACUUAUAUGUAUCAACACAUUGAUGGAUUAUAAAUAGAGCUUUAUAGUCUUUCUUCUUCAAUUCUUUAUGUGCAACCUUUUCUUGAUCCGUCGCGGCUUCUGCAAGCGUUGCUACUCCUUCCUUCACAAUAUCUCAAAGAUCUUGAUAACAGAACACAACCUUCAUCUGCUUGCACCAAUUCUCAUAAUUGGUGUUCUUGAGAAUUAGAAGAUUUGUUGGAAAAUGCCCGUUUGGAUUAUUCGUUGCCAUGGUGAUUUGCUUCCCACGAAUUGAUUAAACCGAAGCUCUUGAUACCAGAUGUUUGAAAUCCCCCAAAACCUAUGGAGAAUUUCAAUCAAUCUUGAUGAACAAGAUUGUUAUUACCCACAUAAUAACAAUGAAAAGAAAGGAACAAUGGAGAAAGAGAGAGUGUAUAGAACGAUGAAGGAGAAGAGUAAUGUAAUUCUACAGAGUUUCUCUCUGCCCACAAAUUGUGGAAAACUUCUUAUUCACUUUGCAACUGAAAAAUACUGUGAAUACAAUGUUAUGAAUGCUCUAUUCACCUCUUUACAAAAAUAAGGGUUACUCCCUCUAUUUAUAGAUUUAGGUUAACUUGGACCUCAAGCCAAAGCCCAAAAUUAUAAAAGCCCAAAAUAGCUAACACUACUAAAAUAGGCAUAUGUGGUUCAACACAAGGAAUUACAAUUCAACAUGCUUCACUAUUGUCUAUACUAAGUUGAUCACUAUGAUUACAUCAAGACAAAUGUGUCCUACCAACAUAACUGAAUGUCAAGAUAUAAUAUUGUGUUUAAUCUAAUUUUAACAUGCUUCACAGUGUUUAGAAUGGUACAAGGAUGCAUCUGUUUCGAAAACUUUUAUGCAUAAUGAACUUAUAUUCUUGGAAAAUGUUAUGUGUCAUUUAUUAUUUAGUGUCGUAUUUUACACUAAUGUUCUCAUAUUAUACUUCAUUCAUGUUAAGCUUGCUAAUUGAGUUUGUUUUUUACUUUCAAUGAGAGUUUUCUUAGUUCUUGAUUUCUACCAUAUUUGAUUUGUAUCUCUUACAUCCAUACAAUUACAAAAGACUUUAUAUCCUUAACUGUUUUAAAAGGUAAUGGUUUUAAGAAGCCUUAAAGUUUGAAAAAAAAUUCAUGUGAAUUUUCAUUCAGAUGAAUGACCUCCAUAGACUUACAACUCAUAGAUGAAGUAACAGUCUAAAAGUCUUUAUGAGGUGAUAUUUUUUUAUUUGCAUAUACCAUAUAUGCGUGUUUUGACACAUGCCUAUUCCAUUUCACAUGCAUGAUGCAAUAUUUUUGUGUGGAUUUAUCACAAUUAUUUGACCUAUUGAUUUUGCACAUGACCGUUUGUUCAUGUUGAUUAUUUUUAUAAACUUAUUUCUAUCAAUUGAUUCAUUAGUUUCCUCUUCUACCAAAUUAUAAUAUUUUUCAUUUCUUAUCAUUUUAUUGUAUUUCAAUUAAUGUCUUCACACUUAAUUUUUGUAUCUUUAAUUCGUGUCCUUGGUUUUUGGCUUUGUCGCCAUUUCUUCCUUCAAUCUAAUUGUUUCUCACUUUAUUCCUAUUAAAUAUUGACUUUCAUAUAUUUCAUUAAUUCUAUGUUUAGUAGGAAAUGAUCGAGUUAAAUGGCGUGGAAGUUGUCGACCCUGAAUGAACCAUUAGAAUCAUUGAUGCAUCCAUUUAUUCUUUGUUUGUAGAAACUUGGUUUAAGGUUACAUCUCCUUAUUAUCCAAACAAGUAUUAUGUUGCUUUAAGCCAUUGUAUACUUUUUUACAAGCCUAAUAAGAAAUUUUAAAAUAGUUACUUGGGUAGGCACUUUUCUAUAUUUACCAAAUUUUAUUUUCUAUGAUUUAGUUUUUCCCUUUAUUUAGUUUGAAUGCUAAGAGAUGUGAUGGUGUAAUACCACUCUUUCUCAAUUUAACCUAAUAUUUAGGCAUAUGUAAGGUGCUUUUAGUUUACUUGUGCUUAUUGGAAGGUGGAUUGCAAUCCUACUAUUUUCUUUUGCUUCUGCACUCUAAAAAUGGAGAUUGAGACCCUCCUGUAUUAUUUUAAGGGAAAGUGUAGUGAGGUUCUGUAUCUCUCACAAAUAUACACAAAUAUUUAGGAAUAAUUUAUUCAAAGUGGCAUAUGUAUUCAUUGUGAAACUUACUUUUCUUAUGAUUAUGUGAAUACACAUGUUCUGUAUGGGAGCCUGAUAUUGGUGAAGAAUAAGCGAACUUAAGUAUCAAUCUGGUGAAGUGAACUUCUUGUACAACGGGGUGGACCAGUAAGGUUAUUGAUCGGAAAAAUAGCAAGUGUACUAUUUUCGCCGAUGUAGUAAUAAGAGGGAAGUUUCCCAAAGAUCGAUCUCGAGGAUUGCGCAGCAAUAUAAACGUAAAUAGUCACUCAAUUGAACAAAAGUUAUAAUUAUGGUUUUGAAGAAUUCACUGUAAGGAAAAAUAUAACAAAUAAAUAUUUUCACAAGUUAAUAUGAUAUGCCAAGGUAGGUGUGUAAAUAUCUCCUGUAAUGACCCCUUGAGUGUAUAUCUCCUUAAUACUGAAUAUUAUUAGGAAAAAUAUAACAAAUAAAUAUUUUCACAAGUUAAUAUGAUAUGCCAAGGUAGGUGUGUAAAUAUCUCCUGUAAUGACCCCUUGAGUGUAUAUCUCCUUAAUACUGAAUAUUAUUUCAAUUACCGAAUCUUAAGAUUAUUUCCCCCUAAGUCCUUAGAGGGAAACCUUUGGUAUUCAAUCUAACCUCUAAGUCCUUAGGUGAUUACGAUGAAACCAAACAUUUUAAAUUAACAAGAUUAAUCCGGUAACCAUAGGGUAUCCCUAGUUCUAGGUGAUCUCUACUAUGGUUUCACUGUAUGAAAACCUUAACCAUUGCAGUCCUGCUAAGCUUUAACCAUAAAUCAAUCUUAAUUUUUGCCAAAAAAAAGCAUUACGCAAAUCAUACAGUGAAAUUGAAAUCAAAUAAGAUAUAUUAAGGGAAAACAAACACCGGAGUCAUUACAUGAUCAAUUCAGGGACACCCCCUGGCAUUGAGGGGUUUAGACUAUCAUAUUAAUCAAAUCAGAUACAAAGUAAAAUUGAGACAUUACAAAAAGGUCGGAGUUCCGUUGAUCUUCAAUCGCGUCCGCUCUUGAAGGAUCCCCGUUCUUCGCUUCUUGUCACUUCCUCAAUCUUGAUCUUUUCCAAUUCUCUCUCGUGUCCAAAGUCUCCUUUUUCCAAUUCAAAUCCACUAUAAAUAGUUCCCGAUGACAAAUUUCCUUGCAUAAAAGUCCAAAAUACCCUCCGGGAUAAGCCGUGCCAAAAACAGCAAAAAAUAGGAAAUUCAAGUGCCCAAGCCAACAUUGGCCGUGUCAGGCAACACACCUGGCCGUGUUGGCCUCUGGGCACAAUUAUGCUGUGACACACCCCUUCAGGGAGGCUAACACGGGCGGCUAUGUCAGCUCCCUGUUUUCCAUUUCCCCACCUUCUCUCCUAACACGACCCGUGUAGGCCAACACGAGUGACCGUGUCAGAGCUACUGUAGGUCCAUUUUUCUUCUUCUGUCGGGUCCGGAAUGCAUGUUUUGCCUGUCUAUCCCUCUAGUGCACUUGUUUAUACCUGAAAUCAAAAGAACUACCACAAAAGGAUAUAAAAUGGAGUAUGAUGAUGCAUAUAAUAUGUGCUUAAUAAAUAGAGACAACAACAUCAACCAUAUAGAUAACACAACAAAACAAUAAAAUAAGUGACUAAUGUUACGAUUCCUUACAAAGGUGCCAAAUGAGUGUCAGAAAAGAAGGAGAAUUGGCGACUGAUCAUAACCCCAAACUUAUCUCAUUGCUUGUCCUCAAUUGAUGCUCCAGACAUCAGGACGGUUGCCCCCAAAUGAAUGAAUCCACAAUGCUACCGCAAUCUUCCCCGUUCUCCUGUUCACUUUCAAUCAUAGUUUUACUCUUUCCCAAUUUCCAACUUUAGCCACACUUUAACUUUGACACAUCUUUUGGCAUGUAGCUUUUCACACUAUCACCAAAUCUCUCGGGGUCGAAGUGUUUACACUCAAGAAAAUAGAGUAUGCAAAAUCAGCUCUUAGGUUUGAAAUACAGAUACUUUCAUAACAAGCAACACACAACACACACUAUUUGAGGACUUUUUCGGUUGUAACGGGGCUAAGGUGUAAGGUGGGUAAUAGAAAAAAAAGGAAUACUAGGGGUUUAGGCUCAGAUUUCAUGUUGUUACCCUUGUGCCGUUUAUUUAAAUUUCAAACUCGGGUGUAUUUCUUUUGGACACCGUUUUUCUUUGUUGAAGUUCAUUGGCGCAUAUAUUUUCUUUUAUUGCUCUCUUGAUGCAAGCUUUUUGCCAACCAUAGACUUCCUAGAUAAGUGCUUCAAGACUUCUCUUUUUUUUUUUAAAUUUCUUUCUCUUCUUUUUCUCUGCAUUUUUCUUCAUCUUUUUGCACUUAUCUAAGGUUUGUCGGUGUCCCUAAAUUUUGAUGAAACCCCAAACUUAAGCUUUUCGGUAGCUUCAGGGAAAACAACACUUGUCUAAGCAUGGUAUGGUAGUGUAUGGGCUUAUGGAUAUAUAUAAUGGUAAAAAUAAAAACAAAAGGAAAUAUGGCUCAAAAUUGGUGAACGACGAGUAAUUAUGACGGGCUGGCUUGAAAGGCUCAAGGUUAAAAUACAAAAACAAUGCCUCAGUGUGUAUCGUGUGCUAUGUAAUUUCAGUAUGUCUAAUGCAAACCCAGAGAGACAAAGACAUACCUGAACAACUCUCAUGAUGAUAAGUGCUUGGCUUUUUGUAGUUCUCAACAUGUUUUGUCUCGCUUUCAGGCUUCCAAGACGUUUCUCAGUAUGGUGUACCUUCGUCUUCUCUUCAGUUGCGGAGUAUCACUACAAACACCAGUGACAGAGAGUUGCAUCCGAUUUUUCGAGUCGGUAGCAUCAAUCUUCGGGGGUUUCCAGAAGAGCAAGUAGAGGGGUGUGUCUUCCAUCCAAUCGUUCCAAGCUUCAUCGUUCAUCUAGCACGAAUGUCCUUUAUCUGUAACACAUAGAGUACACACAACUUAAUUCAAACAAAAAUAUUAAGAACAAAACAAAUAACAAACCAAACAAACAAAAACAACAAUAAAUAAUAAAAAACCCCCACACUUGAACUCAACAUUGUCCGCAAUGUUUGCAUCCAAGAUAGAGGGGUGCUCAAACCGGCUCACUGUGGCGGCAGAAAUUACAACAUCAAACGUUGCAUCAUCGCGUGCAUCUCAUCCAUCAGAGUCCCUUGACGGGCCUUCUCUACACCUUGGCGUGCUUGUUCCGCUCAGAGAUCGCCAAUUUCUGUUUGCAUCCAUGACCAUUUGUCCGACGUCACAUAUGAAGAACCGGCACUGGGGUGCAUGGAUUCCUCUGGUGGGACAGCAAAUUGCUCCUGAUCAUGCAUCUCUUCCUGCACUUCUUCCUCUUGUGGAUUACCUACAGCAAAUGUAUCAGCAUUGUAUUCAUCCAUAUCAUCUUGGACGACACUUUCAUAAAGCCAAUUGGCCAUGUUUGAGAUUCUAAUGUGUGUCGGCUCAGGUAGAGCCAUAAUAAACUGACCCGAACUCAUUAAGGCAUAAUAAUCAGAAACUUGUGAAAUCAUACCUUGUUGGACCAAUGCGUUCAUGUCCAGUUUUCUCUUACCUGCUACCGGUGUCUCAUUAAGUGUAGUCAGGUCAUAUCCGAAAUGUUGGGCAAUUUGGAUGAUGAUGCCUCCUAUGGAGAUUCCUCCUUGGGUUGCUCUCCCCACACAACCCAGAUAAUCUACAGCAAAUGCUGCAACACUCACAGUUACCCAGUUUGCCAUGGCAAACAAAAAGAAUAACUCUCUCUGGGUGGCUACACCUGUAUUGUCACCCCUGCCAAAUAGUGUGAAGGCUAGCACCUUCUGGGCAUACCUGAAGCAGGGGUUUUGAAUGCCUGACGCCUUUGCUCCUUUAGCCUGGUAGUCAGAACGUCCCGUAAUGGCCAACCAGAAUGUCUUAGCACCGAAGCUGUCUAAUACGGAUCCGGGGCCAUAAAGGGGUAGGCAAAGAAUUUCACCCAACAGCUCGACCGUCAACUCAUGGUCGACAUUGUACAACCUGAAAGACAUAGUUCCUCCAAAGCACAUAGUUGUACCCGUCCAACCCUUUUUGAGCUUGAACUCAAUUGUGCUCAGAAAUUCUAAUGUGAUGCGCUCAAAGGUUGACGCUUCAUAAUGGACAAACUCCAGCAUUCCAAGCACAUGAAACAUCCUAUCCAGUUCUUCAGACAUACCUAAUUGAAAAAGAGUGUCGGAGCAAAGGUACCUGGUCAGAGUGAUUUUCCGUUUGACAUGCGAUUCGUACCUCUGUUCAUGCUCCGGGUUAUCAAAAAUUAUGUCAUGUGAAUUGGGAUGACGGAUUGUCUAUUUCCUUGGACGGGAUGAUUCCGCGUCCGCUUGCUUCCUUUUGGAGACUCUUUUUGGCGGCAUUCUUGCUUCCUGAAAUAUAAAUUAUCACCCAAUUUUUUUUUAAGGAGAACGGAAAAAGAUUACCGUAGCGUUGUAGAGGAUGGCGAGUAGAAUAACUUUUGUGAAGGAUGUCGGCACUUUGGACAGGAAAUGACGGUAAAGUUUGGAGUUUUUUGUGAGUUAGGUUAUGGAGGAAUGUGGAGAAAGUGUGAGGAAGGAGAAAGAUAAUGAAAUAAUGAAGGAAUGUGAUGAAGAAAAAUCAGAAUAUAUUGGUGGAUAGUGGGUAAAAAGUGUUUAAAUGGUGAAAAGUUCGGUUGGGGCCCACAAAACACAAAAAUAAAAAAUUUGAAAAAUAUGGUAGUUGGGCCUGACACGGGUCGUGUCAGCUGACACGGGCGGCCGUGUCAGGCCACUAGAAUUUGAGGCUUGGUUCAGUAGGGCUGACACAGGCGGCCAUGUCAGCCCACUGUAAAAAAAAUGAUUUUUUGCUUUUCCUGACACGGGUCGUGUUAGCUGACACGGGCGCCCGUGUCAGGGCCCUGUUUUUUUCAAAAUUUUCCGACUUUUUUUUUUUCGUUUUCAGAUUUUUUCUGUUCUUCCGGUGUUCAACCAUCUAAGUCAACCUUUCUCGUCUGAAUGUGCGAUGCAACUGCGAACCUGUAGACAAACCAAAUAAGAAAAUAGUUAAAUAAAUCGCGUGGGUUGCCUCCCACGAAGCGCUGCGUUUAACGUCGCAUGGCUCGAUGGUCGUCACCCUCAUCCUUGGAGAUGAACAUUC